CAUAGCUCUUGUGCUGAUGAACAGUGAUGCAAGGAGCAUGGAGGUAAUGAGUAGCCCCUCUCUCUGAGAUGGUGUUCUCUACCUCUGCUGUUGUCUAUGCUAUGGUAACCUCAAGGUUAGAUUACUGCAAUGUGUUAUACGUAGGGCUGCCUCUGAAGAUGGUUCGGAAACUUCAGCUAGUGCAGAAUUCAACGGCCAGGUUGCUCACCAGAGCAAGAUGGUUCGAGCAUAUUACAUAGAUCCUGGUCUGACUGCACUGGCUACCAAUUAGUUUCCGGGCCCAAUUCAAAGUGCUGGUUUUGACCUAUAAAGCCUUAAAUGGCUCCGAACUGCAAUACCUCAAGGACUGCCUCUUUCCAUAUGAACCUAACCGGACCCUGAGAUCAUCUUCUGAGGCCCUCCUUCGUGUGCCCCCUCCUCAAGAGGAGCGUGGCAACAUGAGAGUGGGCCUUCUCUGAAGUGGCUCCCUGUCUGUGAAAUGCUCUCGCCAGGGAAGUUUGCCUGGCGCCUUCAGUACACACCUUUAGGCACCAGGCAAAAACGUUCCUUUUUAACCAGGCCUUUGGUUGAUCCAAUUUACAUCCUAUGCCCUUUUAAAAUGUGUGGGGGUUUUUUGUGGGAGGGGGCUAUUGGGUUGUUGUUUUUAUUCUUAUUAGGUAUUUUGUGGUUUUAUAUUUUGAUUUUAUUCUGUGAACUGCCCUGAGACCCCUGGGUCUAGGGCCAUAUAUAAAUCCAAUUAAUAAUAAUAAUAAUAAUAAGCCCACCUCCCCUGAUGUCUGCAUGUAUAACGUAAAAAUGUCUGUAGGGAAGGGGCCUUUGCAUGAAGGCUUUCAUGGGAUCCGGAACUGGGCUCCAGUUCCCAUGGAAACCUUUGUGUGCAUAACUAUAUGACCAAAGGCACCUACUUACAGACAGGGUGGGUGUUAGAGGGCCAAACUGCUGGGUAAAGUCCCACUCCCUGCCCCAUGUCCAUCAACACAGGAGCUAUAAUGUGCACACAGGGCUUAAGUGCCUAGGGAUAUGCCUGAAAGAUAUGCCUCACACCUGCCGUGAUCUAGUUGCCAUGUGUGAAGACAAACAGCAAUUUGAGAGAGAGCGAUAAAGUCACAGAGAGCUGACUUUUGGACUCUAUGAGAUAUCAGCAAUUUGGGGUGCCGGCUGUCUCCCUGCAGACCUGGUUUAGGGGCAGUGGGCUUUGAAGCGUUUUCCACCUAAUGUUCAACCAAAGUAUUUGCGAAUGAAGGCAAAUAUUACAAAACACCAAUAAGCCUCCAGUGAUUCCAUCAAAAGAAAAGCAAACCUGGCUAAGUUCUGCACCCUCAGACUUCUCAGAGAAGUGGGGUUAGCAUAGUAGUUAAUUUGUGGCUUUCUGUUCUUAGGGAGUCAUCAGGCACCACUUUGAUAACACAGAUCUUAAAACAAAAAAACACAUCCAAGGGGAGUUGAGGUGGCAGAGGCCUGAAGGGAGGGGGAAGAGGAAGCAACAGAUAGAAAGCCAAUGGAAUAAAAGAUGGCAGGUCCCGGACAAAGAACACUAAGGGGAGGCGUAAACUGAGAGAAAGAAAAACAGGGGCAAAACCAAAGGAAGAAGGGAAGUUUGCCUUUGACACUUGCCCACCUACUCAGAUCUAACCAUUAUGUAUCAUUACAAUUCCAUAUGCAAUGCCAUCAUGUGGGUGCAUUUGCUAAUAACUUUAAUAAUCCGUGGGGACGCAGGUGGCGCUGUGGUCUAAACCACAGAGCCUAGGGCUUGCCAAUCAGAAGGUGGGCGGUUCGAAUCCUUGUGACAGGGUGAGCUCCCGUUGCUCAGUCCCAGCUCCUGCCAACCUAGCAGUUCGAAAGCACAUCAAAGUGCAAGUAGAUAAAUAGGUACUGCUCCAGCGGGAAGGUAAACAGCGUUUCCAUGCACUGCCCUGGUUUUGCCAGAAGCGGCUUAGUCAUGCUGGCCACAUGACCCGGAAAAACUGUCUGCGGACAAACGUCGGCUCCCUCGGCCCGUAAAGCGAGAUGAGCACCACAACCCCAGAGUCGUUCAUAACUGGACUUAACUGUCAGGGGUCCUUUACCUUUACCUUUUUAAAUAAAACAUUAAUAAAAAAAACAGUGGCUUUGACGUUUGUCAUAAAACAAUGCACUUUAAAAUGGACCAAAAUCAAAUCUGUUUGCUUGCUUCGCAGUAGGAGGCUGAGAUAGCUUAAAAUGACAGUGUGACAUCAAGUGCACAAGACUCUCAGAAAACAAAUGUGGUUUCUUUCCAGUGCCCCUAAGGUGUCUUCCUUGUCAGAAAUACAAGUUUUGUCAUCUCUCAUUAGCUAAUUAAAACAAUGUGAUAUUUCAGAACUUUUGAAAUAAAUUAACGGACAUAAAUAAAAACAACAAUAACCUGGCUUAAAGUUAAUGACAAUCUUUAUUACGUACUAGUGUCUUUAAGCCAGUGUUCCCCAAACAUCCGUUAGCUAAUGUGUAUCUUCCCUACAAAUUAAAAUUAGAAAUCACCAGUCCUAAAAAGGUUAAUGAUCCGCUACUGUAGACCAUUGGGAGUACAGUGGUACCUCGUUUAAGAACAGUCCGGUUUAAGAAUGAUUCGAUUUACACACUCCACAAAACCGGAAAUAGUGUGUGGGUUUGAGAACUUUACCUCGGUCUAAGUACAGAAUCCGAACAGUGGAAGGGCACCGGCGGCGGGAGGCCUCAUUAGGGAAAGCGCGCCUCAGUUUAAGAAUGGUUUUGGUUUAAGAACGGACUUCCGGAACAGAUUAAGUUCGUAAAGCAAGGUACCACUGUAUCUGAUUUGUAUGUGAUGUUCAUAAAAUUCAAUAAUGGUAAUGAUAAUAGAUAAGUAUUGAAACCCUGACCCUAACUCUCCGAAACCUAUCUGUCUGGUUAAGGCCUAAGAGUGCCUGGGGCUGUCCACAAGGAUAGAAAAUGCAAAAAGUCCCAGUUUCAGUUUGUGACAUCUCCAGGCAGGGCUGGGAAAGACUUCCAUCCGAAACCUUGAAGGGCUGCUUGCCUGCUAGUAUAGACGUUACUGAGCUAGAUGAAUCAAUGGUCUGACUCGAGAUAAAGAAGCUUCCUGCAUCUCUGUGGUGAUGGUAUAACAUGGGACUAAUCCAUUAAACAUCAUAAACAUCUGAUUCAUUUCAGCAAGGCUCCCUGAGAAACGCAGCAGUGCUGGAUGGAUGGUACAUUGUGGACACGGUCUUCAUAGAUUCCCAUCACAUUCUUAGGGAUUAACUAAUAUUGUCUGUUAAAUGAGUUAUAAAUUAUAAUUAUAAACCACAGCACUUUAAUCAAGCAAUCACUUGGGGAAAGCCAUGUUCAGACAUGAAAUUAAGAGUCAGUACAGGGGAAGCCAAGUGCUGCGAAUUUAUAUUGAUAUCACCAAAUCCAUUCCUUGGGGACGUUAAGUAUGAUGACAGAUAAAAUCAAUUAUUUCCCUCCUUUCUGGCUUUUCCCUUUUUAAAGAAACAUAAAACUGAUCUAUAAUCUUAUUUUGAUACCUUAACACACAAAAAUUGCAUAUUAUUGCAAUAUGAAACAAUAAGGCUACUGUACUCAGUCCUGAUAAUUUACUUAAUUAGUUGACUAUGGUGCAGGGUGGGUGUGUAUUAAGGUAGUGUGUAAAUAAGGGUUUGAAACUAGUUUUCUGUAUGUUGACUGCCUUUCUAUUUUGUCAUGGAGUGUGUGGUUAUGAGACUAAAGUUCCUCAACAAAGGAAAACAUAGCUUUUUUUCUUCUUUUAAAAUUAUUUUGUCACAUCCAGCUAUAAUCAAAAUUGACCAUUUGAAUUUCUUUUGCAUCCUGACACAUGUGCUUUCAAGAAAGUCACAGUAAAAAAUGUAAAGAUGAUUUCGGAAACAGCUAUAGGUUUUCAUGUUGAAGACUUCUGUCUAAGGCAGAAAAUUAUGCAUCACCAAAUGAAAAGAGGACAAAAUUUCAUAUUUAAAUUGCGUAAACCAAUUUAUGUGAAUAGAUGCAAAUUUAGAUGUCAUUUUAAAAUAGAAAUUCACAGCAUCUCAUGAUAGGGAGGAAGACUUUUAUGUCUAGCUAGCUAGCUAGCUUAACACACACACACAUACUGCUUUAUACAAGUCUCAAAGCAGUUUACAAAAUAAUAAAUACAAUUGACAUAAGAAGCAAUUAAGCUGAAAAACUGCAUAUAAUACAAUACAAUACUUGGAGCAUGUGGCUUGCUAACUGUUUGUUCCAGGCACCUGCUCACCCUUCUUACAAUUCUUAAUCUUUUUUUUUUUUAAGACUUCUACUGUGCAGCACUUAAAAUAGAGGACUCUUUCAGAUAGUCUGCUGAUAAUCCUUCAAACAGAGGACUGUCCCAAAGGCAAGACGCAUGACCAACCUCUGCCUGCCUUUCUGAAGUAGAAAUAUUGUAUACAUUAACAGAGGGGUAGCCAGUGUGGUGUUUUCCAGAUGUUGGCUCCAAUUCCCAUCAUCCCAGUCCAUUGGCCAUGCUGGCUAGGAUCAGUGGGAACAUCAAUAGGACAUUACACUGGUGCCUUAACAAGUUAGUCCUGGAAGAGAUAGCCAGUGCAUUUUACCUGUAGGGCCUAAAAAACCCAAACCCCUACUACCUUUUUGUAGCUUUUGUUCCCUGGGAUCAAUGCAAGGAUAACAGUCCUACCAAACCAUUUUAAUUGCAACCCUGAAGCAUAGUCAGUUGCAAUGUGUCUACUGUUCUGUGACAAAGAAGUGAAGAUGUCUCUACUUGGCCAUCAAAGUAGCUAUGCCACAAGGGAUCUCUCUCUCUCUCUCUCUCUCUCUCUCUCUCUUUCUCUCUCUCCGUCCCCCAAUCCCUCUGUUCUCUUCUCCUAUCUCUUCUCCUGCUGUGAUUGAGCAUUAUGAGAUGAGUCACGUCUCUAUGUGCAAGUCCAUGAACCAAUUUGUGUAUGGAGUAAAUGAUACGUAUGGAUUGCAGAGAACAGGGUUCAGGUCUGGGUCAUCACACCCAGAGCUCUCAGCUAAUACGAAAGAUAUAGACCUGGAUUACUGUCUGUAUUGAUUCAGAGAGAGAGAGACUUUCUUUUUCCUUUCAUUUAAGUCUAUUUCCUGUGCUAUGAUCACCAUUGUCAUUAAUGCAGCAAGAUCGCUCUGUUCUGUACUUACUUUUAAUAUAACAAAUGCCAAUUUCCAACAAACAGCAUGAAGAUUUAAAACAUGGGUAGGCAAACUAAGGUCCUGGGGCCGGAUCCGGCCCAAUCGCCUUCUAAAUCCACCCCGCGGACGGUCCAGGAAUCAGCGUGUUUUUACAUGAGUAGAAUGUGUCCUUUUAUUUAAAAUGCCUCUCUGGGUUAUUUGUGGGGCAUAGGAAUUCAUUCAUCCCCCCUCCCAAUAUAGUCUUGCCCCCCCAUAAGGUCUGAGGGACAGUGGACCAGCCCCCUGCUGAAAAAUUUUGCUGACCCCUGAAAAAGCAGGAAUGUAUCGUUGUCUUUGUUCACAUAUAUAUCUUUUGAAAUACACCAAUAAGGGUUAUGGCCAGGUUCUGUAUACUUUUUAUUAUUGUUAUAACAGUUUUUUUGCAUGCUUGGCCUCCUGAUACCUCCCCUCAGACAUCAUUUGUAAAAGGAACGCUUAUUGGGCUUAACCCUUCAUGAAAGAUAGGCUGCCUAACCCAGAAGCCCUGUCCUUAGAUCAGAAAUGUAUGGGACCGGGCUUCAUUUGCCCUGUGAUGGUGAUACCAUCCAUUCUGCUCAUAAUCAAAAGUGUGGGGGUUUUUUUGGGGGGGGCAUUAUUUCACAGGUGGGACCUGCCUAAAUGUAGAACCUUAGAAGAGUUUGGAUUUGAUAUCCUGCUUUAUCACUACACAUUACAUUUGUCCCUAUUGAAAUUCAUUUUGUUAGUUGAGGCCCAGUUCCAUGGGUUUAGCCAGGAUUUUUGUUGAGGGGGCAGGACUUUUGGUGGGGACAGAACUGACGUGAUAGAUCAGUUAGUUAAGUAUUUCUAUUGUUUUACUUAAUUGGGCGGCGGCAGCUGUCUCUCCACCCCCCGCUUGGCUACACCCAUGCCCAGUUCUCCAAUCUGUUAAGGUCAUCUUAAAUCCUGAUUCUGUCUUCUGAAGCAUUAGCUACCCCUCCCAGCAUGGUGUCAUCAGCAAAUUUGAUGAGCAUCCCCUCAAUACCUUCAUCCUAGUCAUUGAAAAACAACCAGCCCAGGACAGAACCCUUCAGCACCCCACUUAUCACAUUUUCCCAGGAUGGCAAGGAACCAUUAGUGAGCACUCUUUGAGUUUGGUCAGUCAACCAGCUACAAAUGCCCCUAACAGUUACCUCAUCCAGCCCACAUUUUACCAGCUUCUCUGCAAGAAUGUAAUGGGAAACUUUGUCAAAAGCCUUCCUGAAAUCAAGAUAUACUACGUCUGCACCAUUCCCUUGAUCCACCAGACUUUUUACUCUAUCAAGAAAACAAAAACAAAUGAGAUUCCCCUAGCAUGACUUGUUUUUGACAAGCCCAUGCUGGGUCUUAGAAAUAACAGCAUUUUCUAAGUGCUCUAGGGUCUUUCCUGGUCUCGAGGUCAAGCUCACUGAUUGGUAAUUACCUGCUGGAUCAGCUAGUGUCCCAUCUACACCAGCAUCCUGUUGUCACAGUGACUAACUAGAUUCUUGUAGGAAACCCUAAAGGAGGACCCAAAGACAAGAACACUCUCCCUUCCUGUGGUUUCCAGCAACUGGUAUUCAGAAGCAUUGCCGCCUGUGACCGUGAAGGCAGAGCAGAGUCACCAUGGCUAGCAGAUAGACUGAUUGCCAUAUCUACCAUGCUUUUAAUAUAUUCUGGUGAUAAUCUUCACUUCUCUUAUAUAUUUAUAUUUCUAGGAACUGUUGAAAGAUGACCAUAAGGAAAAGGAAACUCAAAAGCUGAGAGAAAAAUAGCAGUCCCUCAGAACACAGCCUGAAUUAGGAGACUAUUUGACUAUUUAGACUUAAAAUGAGUAUCACGGUUAAAUAUAUCAAGUCAACAAGACUCCCCACGCCCUUGUAGAGCAUUUUGCACCUAUAAUCACACAUUGAGUCAUCAUCAUAUAAUACUGCAGAAUGGCGAAAUUAAUGAGCAGUUGAAUUUUCAAGGAAAGAACUGAAAAUAUGUCAGAAACUGCUGAUGCAUGAUGACCUCAUUUGUUCAUUUCUUUACCUGCAUAGGUUUGGAUUAAACAAAAAUGUGUUUAGGUGUUUGCUCGUAAGGCUAGAAAAUAUAUCAUGUCAUAAAGAAGGAAACUACAGUUAAUCUUAUUUUCACUCAUCUUUUAUUAUAUAAAUAAUAGGAGAAGGUUUUAUGAAACUGUGCCACUUGGGUGUGACCAUAUUCCUAUUGUUUUUAAUGGCUCAUAUUACCAUCCUCUGAUUCCUUGUGUCAAAAAUUCAUUGCUGGAGAAAAGGCAGGGACAGACUGGUGAACAUCAUUUAAACUCCACUCCAGGUCUCCUUGUCCUCUUUCAUGGGGCUACAUACUGAUGGACAGAUUGUUCUGCCUUGCAGAAGAUGAUUAGGCCUGAUAUGUACAAAAAUUUCAUCACAUCAUAAAUGUGUUAUUUCAUAUUUGGAGGAGGGCAUCUAUCAAAGAAAAUUUGAAAGAGCUUUAAUACUUUUUGAAUGUGUUUUAUAAAAACAUGGUCAGGGAGAAGGUCAAAAUUGAAUCGCUCUCCCUUGACAUUUCAUUUUCUACGUGUAAGGAAUAUUUUUAUAUGGCAAAAUAUUGAAUCAUGUGAUUUCCCUCAUCUGUGCUCUCAAAUGAUACGCAGUUCAGGAAUAGUUUUGCCAUGUGACGCUGAGUGUGCCUGAUUUUGAAAAUUCAAUAGCUUAACAUUACUAAAUAUAUAUACUGUAUACAGGAAUCUAGCCAUAUGCAUUGAUCAAAACCAGCUUGGUCCUUGCAGUCACAGUCAUGCUGCCACACCUCAACAGUAGUAGGAUGCUGUUACUUGCUCAUCUCCUGUUCACUGUGAUAUGAAAUUCCAACUUUACUGGGGACAAUGGACCUUUGUUAGUCCUGGCCAUUAUUUCCACUGGUUCUUCUGGCUCUGCUUUGAGUCAAAAUUAGUUGAAUGCAAUCCUUAAUCUAAAGGCAGAAGUGGUUGGUUACAGGAAUAUACAUUGGUACCUUGGGUUAAGAACUUAAUUCGUUCUGGAGGUCUGUUCUUAACCUGAAAUUGUUCUUAACCCGAGGUACCACUUUAGCUAAUGGGGCCUCCUGCCACCGCCACGCCACUGCCAUGCAAUUCCUGUUCUCAUUCUGAAACAAAGUUCUUAACCUGAGGUACUAUUUCUGGGUUAGCGGAGUCUGUAACCUGAAGCAUCUGUAACCUGAAGCAUCUGUAACCCAAGGUACCACUGUACUGUAAACAGGAUUUUUAAAACUUCAUAAGGUAAAUAUAUCUCACAAAAUACUCAGUUCUCUUUCUCUGUCCGCCUCUCUCUCUCUCUCUCUCUCUCUCUCUUUCUCUCUCUCUGUAUAUAUAAAUGCUGUUUUUUCUAAUUUUAUUUUUGCUUUUAGUUCACCGUGCUAGAAAACACACCAAUCUUGGGAAAUCAAGCUAAUGUCUCCCAGCUGUGCAGGAAAAGUGUGAACAGCUCUGUCAAAUGAGCUACCCCCAUCUUUCUCUUUUUCACCAGACUGCAUCUUAUACUUGAGCAGUCCCUUCGCAUUUGCCUUUUGAGCUGGUGUGACAUAACUGCUGUUUCAUUGCCGACAGGAAAGUUUCUGUGAGGGAUAAGGAACUGGUCUUUCAGCUACCCUAGCUGGGGGAAGGGGGGAGAAAACGGUUUUAGUUGCAGGCCCAUUUUACUGGUGAAUGGCUAAGGAAAGCUGACAGGAUAAGAAAAGGAUACACGGACACGGCUCUAUCCUAAAGGUUGCUAAUUGACCAAGUGGUAAUCUGAGGGGAAGUAUUAUCCAACCUUGAAAUGCUUUCUCCAGAUUAAGUACAUUGCAUGUCAUCAGUUAACCCAUUGAGUACAGUGGCCAAGUGUUUUGACAGUCACAUCUGGUACCAUAGACUUCCAUGUUACCUAAUCAAUAGUGAUGUAGGAAGUACAAUAGAUAAGCCAAUCCAAGUGCUUCUUUGUUUCAUGCACAAAUUCAGGGGGCAUUGGAAAGGCUAACCACAAUAUUUUUUCAGGGGCAGCAGGGCAGCUGAUCUUUCACAUCAGGUGGGUAGGGAGGAGAAUUUAAAGAAACAUUUGGUGCGAAAAUAUGGUAGAAAAUACCAGCAGUCACAAGUUAAUAUUUAAACUUUUUUUACCAAGCAUUUCCCAAUAUUCCUGAGAUGUUAGUAAACCACUGAGAGCCCAAUUCCGGGAGCUGGUAUUCAAAAAAGGGAGCAAUGAUUACACCUUGACUGGCAUCCAGUUAGACUAGUCUAGACAGUAAAAUAAAUCAAUAAUAAACCCAUAAUCUGAUAUGGAUUUAUGACUGAAGACUUUAUCUGAUCCUAGUGGGCAGUGCCCAGAGCUGCCUGGGAGUUUUUAGAGACCCAAAAAUGCUGUGUUUUUUAAGCGAAUGCUGUCAUUUGUGAGUUUGGACCCAUCACACCAAAAUGGGUCAUGCCAAAAUGAUGUUUCAGUCCACCAUCUUGAUUCAAAAUAGUGGCUGGCAUCCAAAUGAUAACAGAGUCCACCACCUGCACAUUGGGAGCCCUCACUCCAAGGUUGAUGAUGAUACCUCAAGAGGCAGCCAAACCCAUGCCACAUACCUCUUUAAUUACAAAUAAAAUGCCUCUGCUAUUGUGGAGUGAUAUUACCUUUGCAUUAUUUAAUGUUACUCCACUGGAAAUUUCAUGAAUGGAUACUUUAUGGUGCUCAUACGCGCGCACACACAAACACAGAAAAUGUGGCAUAAACAGAUGCAUAAUAUGAAGUCUCUAAAGUACAUACAGUGUACUUUAUUUACACAUUUAUCUUCUCUUUUGCUCUUCUGCAAGGAAGUAGCAUACAUGAUUUCCCCUUUUAUACUCACAUCUAUCCAGUGAGGGAGGUUAGAUGGAGAAAAAGUAGCCAGUUCAAGGUCUCUUAGGCCCCAUCUGCACUAUACAUUUAAAGUAGUAUCAUAAGCACUUUACUCAGUCAUGGCUUUCCUCAAAAUAAUCCUGUGAACUGUAGUUUGCUAAGGAUGCUCUGAGUUGUUAGGAGACCCCUAUUCCCAUCACAGUUAGAAUUUCCAGAGUUCUUUGGGAAGAGGGACUGGUUGUUAAACUACACUGGGAACUGAAAUUUUUUUUGUGGGGGAGAUAUGGGUCUCCUAAGAACUCACAGCAUUCGUAACACACUACACUUCUUUGGGGGAAGUCAUCCUGUUUAAAGUAGUAUGAUAGUGCUUUAAAUAUAUAGUGCAGCGAUAGGACCGCAGUGUAUUUUAUGGCUGAGUGAGGAUUUGAACCUACAUUUCCAUGAAUCUAGUCUAGCACUCUCUAACCCUUCAAUCACACUAGAUAUUUUUCACAGAUCAGAGAUAGGGAAGCCAUGGCUCUCCAGAUGGACUCCCGUCCCUUCCGCUCCAAAUCAUGGCCAAUGGUCAGGGAUGAUAGGAACUAUAGUACAAUAGCAUCUGGAAGGCUUCAGGUUCUUCACCUCUUCUUAAGCAUUAGUUUCAAUCUUUUUCUUCUUCUAGUCAGCCCAUUAACAAAGGAAAAACAACCCAUUUAACAAAGAAAGAGAAGAUGACUACUAGUCUCUUGGCCUCCGUUUCGGUUCACAUGGCAUGGUCAACAUUUCUUAGGCAGAACCCGUUGUGUGACAGUUGUUCAUAAAGGUGAAAACAGAAGUGACCUCUUCCAGCAUCUCGGUAACUAGGGUUGGGCUUGCACAAACAGCUUGGCAUCUGCCGCCACAUCUUUAGCGAGUUGGCAGCCUCGAUGCCCUUUGCAGGUUGCAAUCAAACCUGCCUUCUACAGAAACCUCUUUCUGGCUGAUUAACUUUAAUGUAAUUUUAAUUAAAAACCACAGUGUCAAAGGGUUUAGCUGCUUGAGAAAUAAGCACAGAUUGUGGCACAGUGGCAGCAGUCACUUGGAAAAUGGAAAUGCAUCCUGACAAUAUUGUGCGGGGGCCAGAUAAACAAAGCUGCAGCUCUCUUACCUCGCACAUCACAAUAGCAAGGACCACUUACAAAAAUCACAUAGAUCCCUUUGCCGAUCUCACAUUUCAGAUGUUUGAUGUUCUACAAUCUCCAAUGCACCGUUUCAAAUAUUAUAAAGUAAAAUGAAAAACAAAAACCAAAAAACCUCACAGCCUUUUUCUUCAGCAUUAUGAAUUUAAGGAUAAUUUUUAUAUAUGUGUGUAGCAAUUCUUGUUUGUUUUGAAUUGCUGAGUUUUUUCUUCGUGGUCUAAAAUAACAACUCCCAUUCCCCCCACCUUAGGUUAUGAAGAAGAAGAAGGGGGAAAACAGAUGCACCAUCCUUCUCCAUUCACAUCUGAAAGUAAGUUCUAUACAUGUGAUGUUUCAAUUUUCUUUGCUGCUAGCUCUUCAUGUCGCUUGAAGCACUUGAGACCCUUCUUUUAUUGUUAGAGAAACUGAAUUAUAUUAUAAUUUAUUUCACUGCAUUCAGAAACUACUAAACAAUAGACAGUUAUAUAUGGUACUUUACUAUCUUCAUAUCUUUAAUACACCUUUAUUUCAUAGUGCAGAGAUGACUUUUAUCCCAUUUGCAUAGGUCCAUGGAACUGCAGAAGGUGGCAUUGCUCCGCUUUGUCAGUUCCUUCUUGCUGCUCAGUUUCAGUUCUGAGAUCUGAGAACUCAUCGAAGUGUGCAAAUUUCAAAUACUUUUCUGCACAAUUUUAUUUUUUAUUUCAAUUUGAUUAAAAACAUUUCUCUGCCGCGCUUUAUAUCACACUUACCCUAAGUUUUGUACAAAUUGAAAACCACAUGUAUUCAAUAUAAAUUUAAGAUAUUUAACAUAUACGGUAUUACAAAAUUUAUAUGAAAAUAAUAGCUGUGGCGAUUCUGUCAUGCAGAUAUUCCUGGUUUGGGAAGGGUUGAGUGACAGAACCUGUUUUUAGAACCCAUCAAGGUCAGUGCAUGCCAGAUUUGUUAUGCAUUUUUGGAGGUUUUUUAAAAAUAGGAAAUCCUAUAGUUAUUUACCUGGGCGUAAGCCACAUUGAACUUAGUUCUGCUUACCUCUAGGUGGAUAUAGAUCAGGGGUAGGCAACCUAAGGCCCGGGGGCCCGAUGCGGCCCAAUCGCCUUCUCAGUCUGGCCCGCGGAUAGUCCGGGAAUCAGCGUGUUUUACAUGAGUAGAAUGUGUGCUUUUAUUUAAAAUGCAUUUAUGGGGCCUGCCUGGUGUUUUUACAUGAGUAGAAUGUGUGCUUUUAUUUAAAAUGCAUCUCUGUGUUAGUUGGGGGGCAUAGGAAUUCGUUCAUUCCCCCCCCCAAAAAAUAUAGUCCAGCCCACCACAUGGUCUGAGGGACGGUGGACUGGCCCAUGGCUGAAAAAGGUUGCUGACCCCUGAUAUAGAUAGAGGUAAAGGAAAAGGAAUUGCAGUGUUAUUCGCUGCUUUCCUCUGAGCAAGUAGACCAGUAGCUAACAUACAUCCUCCAGGUGUUGCAAGACUCCAGUACCAAUCAUCCCUGACCACUGGCCAUGCUGGCUGGGCUGAUAGGAAUUAGAGUCCAACAGCACCUAGAGGAACACCUACUCCUGUAGUAGACUGUUAGGGUUGCAGUAGCAUUCAGAAAGCAUAUGACUUGACAGUGACUAAUAAAACCCUUGAAAUGAUAACGGAGUAAACAGCUGAUUUGCAUACUCCAGGCAUAAGAUAAUCAGUGGUGUUGUGAAAUCUGCCUUGUUGUCUUUUCUUUGUAGGCUAAACCAUAGCUACUCCUUAUCAUUCAUGCAGGCACAGUACAAGAAUCCAUGCAACUGGGGAAAAAGUAGGCAAAACAAGCUGCAGAUAAUGUAGCAUAAGUAAAAAAUAAACAUGUUGUGAAAAUAUAACAAUUAAGGAAUCUAAGUUGCAGAAAGAUGGAACAAGUUGGUAGAUGUUCUGAUAAAUAUUUGUAGGAAAAGUUUGCAGUAAUCAAAAUAUUUUAUUUUCUGAGAAUAUUUAUGAAAUAUUUGGAGCCCAGGAAGAUUUCAAUCUACUUUUUUGUUCAGUAGAGGAGAAUUUUCUCCAUCCCCUUCAGAUUGCUGGGGCAUUUUCGAACAGAUGGUGGCUGUACAGGUGGGAAAGUUUCCAUGUGAACAGAAGGGUCACAAAUGUACUUACUGAGAGGAUAGACAGAACUAUGGGGGAGAGUUUAAAGCAGUAGGCAAAGGGAUGGGAAGUCUAUACCAAACCCAACAGUGAGGAAGAGGUUGCUAAAAUAAGCAGAUGGAUAGAUAGCAGGGAGAUAAUAAUGAAUUCUGAAAUAUGGAAUACACCUUUCAUAAUCAGACAUAAUGGAGAAGAAUGGCCUAAUAACAUAAACAUGGAGAUAAAAAAUGAUGUUCCGAAUAUUUUUAAAGUGCCAAUGUAAGAUGCAUGGCCAAUAAAAAAAGUAAAAGCAAUAUUGUGUGCACUUCCCAUUAUAUUAGGCUGAUUUGUAUACAAUACUAAACCAUGGUUUAGCAUUAUGAGCAUGACCUAGAACAAGGCUAAAGAAGCCUUAGGCUCCCAUGCUUGCCCCUCUCUUCCUUCGCAUCAUCCCCCACCGUUGGCCAUUCUGGCUGGGCCAAUGGGAAUUGUAGUCCCAAGUAUCUGGAGGGCACUAGGUUGGCUACCACCACCAUAAACACUUGUGCAGGAACUUGUUCAAAAAGUCCACAUUGUGCUAUUACACAUAAAUUAUAUCACAAUGGUCAUGCUUCCACUUGUGAAAGAGGUUGUGCAAGCAGAACCACAUCUUUGGAUUGGUUUCAUUUUUCUCACACGAAACAAGGUACAAAACAAAGGUAUCCCUUUGGUAGGAUUUUUUCAGUAGGAUCCCAAGCAGUUAUAGUACUUGUGUUAUUGUAGUGUGGAAGCUCUUAAGUGUGAUCUGUGAGUCUUGGCUUAAAUAAUGUUUCUGCUGCAAAUUCACUAGGUAGCCGAAGGCUUAGGCAAACAACUAUUUAUGUUUGUUCAAUGAGUUCAAGGUGGCAUAUAUUGAGAAAUAGUAGUGGGUAUUGGCCUGGGUCAUAGACAGCAGUCUGAAUUAAACCAGUAAUCAGCACCGAAGAAUAAGGCUGCAUUCCUAACACAGCUUGUUGUUGUUUAGUUGUUUACUCAUGUCCGACUCUUCGUGACCCCAUGGACCAGAGCACACCAGGCACUCCUGUCUUCCACUGCCUCGCGCAGCUUGGUCAAAUUCAUGCUGGUAGCUUCGAGAACACUGUCCAACCAUCUCGUCCUCUGUCGUCCCCUUCUCCAUGUGCCCUCAAUCUUUCCGAACAUCAGGGUCUUUUCCAGGGAGUCUUCUCUUCUCAUGAGGUGGCCAAAGUAUUGGAGCCUCAGCUUCAGGAUCUGUCCUUCCAGUGAGCACUCAGGGCUGAUUUCCUUAAGAAUGGAGAGGUUUGAUCUUCUUGUACUUCUUGCAGUCCAUGGGACUGCACAGUCCCACAGCUUACCUGAAAGCAAACCCUAUUUGAUUCAGUAGGACUUACUUCUGAAUAGACACAAUGAGGAUUGUACUGUAGGUCAGAACUGGAAGAUGAACCAGGAGGAAGGAUCUAAGAACAAGCCAGAAAUCAGAAACUGAAGUGUAAUAAAGAAUACAGGAGCAUACCAAAGCUCAAAAAGCCUUCACUGCUCGAGCAAGUCUCAACUGGUGCAGGAAGCUCUGUGAUACUUUUUCCUAUCCAGCAGAACAAAAUGGCCAGCCUGGGUAGGCAAGGUCAAUUCAGCACCUGAAGUUACUUCACUGAGAACCUACAGUUCAUCAUAUGCAGAUGUUUCACACACAUCUAGCAGUUCUUAACUCUGCCCCAUGCUUACCCAGUGUGCUGCAUGGCUGAGCUUGAGUCCCCACUUCACCUCACUGGUUCCUGGUGAGGUCCUGUUACCCUCAGUUCACAUCACCUUUGAUAUACGGCUGAUGACUCAUUAUAAGUUUGUUGAGAAGAGAUCAUGUUUCUGAUGCAUUUUGGAAUCUUCACAGUUCAAAAUCAAUAUAAAAUAUAAAUAAUCAUAACAAAGCUAAAACAAGGUGAUCAUCAUCAUAAUAAAAAAAGAUCUAAAGCAAGGUGAUUAUAAGACUUUUUCUAAUGUAGGCCUUUUCCCCCCCAGUGCAUACUGAAACUGUGUUAAAAACUAAUUAGCGGGCAGCCCCUUCCUCCCCUUAUCUCCAACUGGGUGGAAAGCAAAAAAUACAGCUGCAGGCUUAAAGACAGAGAAUAUUUUGUGGAAUAAAAAGCUUCUCUUACAAAGCCUAAAUAAGUUUCAUAAAAAGUAAGAAUAUGCACUGCUUCACCUUACUUUAAGUAUCUAAGUUAAAAUAAUAAACACUAAAAUAGAAAAUGAGGAAUGUCUUGUGUGAACAGAAGACAACUCCCUGGUUUAAAGAUGACUGAAAAUCCAUUUUUGUUUCAUCUGUAACUAAUGAAUGUGACUGGUUAAACAGUGUGAUUUGAUCAGCCGGUGCUUCAUGAACCUAUGUAAAAUUAAACUAUUCAUGUUAAAUGUAUCCAAUGCUUUGGAAUUUCAUAGCUGCCCCUUAACGUGCUCGGUCAUUUUCCAGUGAUUUCAAUAAAUUGUGGAUUGUAACUUGAGCAGAUUAUUCUGAAAGCCUGAAUCUGGCCACUGAAACUGGCCUCUGAGGGAUGUGAUUGUAAACCCCUGCAUUUAUGCCCAGUUUUAUCUAGCUGAAGAAUCUGGGCCCCUGUGUUUGGCAGCCCUGUCUUUGAAAUCCCUUUGGGUACCAGAACCACUCAGCUUUGCCUCUCCAUUCUUUCUGAGCUUGUGAACAAGGUUCUAAGGAUAUUCCACAUGGAAGCAGGCAAGUGCUGCUUUUAUGAUCACCAAGGGAUGAUGUUUCCCUGAAGCCUUUUCAUGUUUCCUGGAUAAAGCUGAGCUGCUGCCUCAAGCCCAUUUGACUCACAUAUGCAAUUCCCUUCCAUAACCAAGUUUCAUUGUAAAUCUAGAGGGAAAUGCCCAAGGGUCUAUUCCUCACAACAAUGUGGUGUGUGUACAGCAUUUUACUGCACGCAUGUAAGCCUUCCUUUAUGAAUCAAGCCGUAGGUGUUUAUCCAUAACAACGAAGAUAUCUAAUUGCAUGAAAUAAAGCACUGCUUUUCAGACUGAGAAGAAAUUAUUUAAGAAUAUUAAAGUAGGCUGCAUUAAAAAGGUUCAAAUCAUAUGAAAUGUAAAAGGCAAUAAAAGGGCAUCUGUUUACAGAGCCAUUUAUUCCUGAUAGAGUUACUGUGUAUAACAAUGAAUGCAGCAAGUCUGAUUUCAUAAAUGAAAAAUACCUGAAUACAAAUUUUAACACUUGAACAACUAUACUUUCAGAUCCUAAUGAAUUUAAUUGUUAUUUUUUUGGAAUUUCAUCUGAAACUGAGGACUGUUCUGAAUUUUCAUGAAUGUUCUGAGGACUGUUCUGAAUUUUCUGAAUGUUCUGAGUGUUCAUGAUGGUAUUGGGGUAGUUACGUUUCUGAGCAUUUCAAAAUGUUGGUGCUGACCUUUAAAGCCCUAAACAGCCUCGGCCCAGUAUACCUGAAGGAGCGUCUCCACCCCCAUUGUCCAACCCAGACACUGAGGUCCAGCUCCAAGGGCCUUCUGGCGGUUCCCUCACUGCAAGAAGCUCACAGAUGGGUGGCCUAGAAGCAAUCUCUACUUGCCAUAGGUGACUCCUCAGUUUACAAGAAUUUGAUAGGUUGAGGCAGCCACCACAGGCAAUUGAUCUGUGCUGUCAUAGAAGAGCAGCAAACUAUUAGUUAUUUAAUUUAUUAUUUGUUGAACGGUUACUGCAGGUUACAGGUGAAUGGUUGAAUGGUUAUAGGUGGUCAUGGGAUAUUUGGGAUAUCAUGGGAUAUUCUGUACUAGGUGCCAAAAUAACUUGAGUGACCUUGAUUACUGUGCACCUUGGCUUGGGGACAGGACAGGUAGACAUUUGCUUCUCCCACCCCACCCCUAUCGUUCAGCCCAGACACUGAGGUCCAGCGCCGAGGGCCUUCUGGCGGUUCCCUCCCUGCGAGAAGUGAGGUUACAGAGAACCAGGCAGAGGGCCUUCUCGGUAGUGGCGCCCACCCUGUGGAACACCCUCCCACAAGAUGUCAAAGGAAAAAACAACUACCAGACUUUUAGCAGACAGCUGAAGGCAGCCCUGUUUAGGGAAGCUUUUAAUAUCUGAAGGACUAUUGUAUUUUAAUAUUUUGUUGGAAGCCGCCCAGAGUGGCUGGGGAAACCCAGCCAGAUGGGCGGGGUAUAAAAUUGUUGUUGUUGUUGUUUUAUUAUACACAACGCUGCUUUCAAUAGUUUGUGCCUGCAGAUGUUUCAGGGAGGACAUACUGCUUCAUUUCCAAACUGCUUCCUGCUGAAAUCCUGUACAGUAAUGUUUUAUACCACAAAUGUUACGGGGCUCUUUUUGUUCCACUUUUGUUGCACUAUGGUGCAAGAUUCCCCCUCUGGAUAGCAAUAAUGUGGUAAUUUGGGGGGACACCACAGAAGAACUAAUAAAGCGCCACACUGGACGGUCUAUUAUAAAUCCCCUACUAAUGUGCUAUUAUUGUGUCAUGACGUGUUGCAGAAUACACCUGUAAAAAAACCACUAAUCUGGAGGAGUCCAUGGUUAGUGAGGUACUUGAGUACAGUGGUACCUCGGGUUAAGAACUUAAUUUGUUCUGGAGGUCCAUUCUUAACCUGAAACUGUUCUUAAUCGGAGGUACCACUUUAGCUAAUGGGGCCUCGCGCCACCACCGCACGAUUUCUGUUCUCAUCCUGAAGCAAAGUUCUUAACCUGAGGUACUAUUUCUGUGUUAGCGGAGUCUGUAACCUGAAGUGUCUGUAACCUGAAGCGUCUGUAACCCAAGGUACCACUGUAAUGUCCUUGAAUAUAGUGGGGUUACCCAGGUAGGAGGGAUGCUUGAUUAUCCUAACAAAAGAGAGAUGCUGGCAACCCUGGAUCACUUGGUGAUCUUCCAUAGAGCACUUGGCUGACUGGCUCCUUUUUUCUUGAUGCGUCUUUCUGUGGGUUGCCCUACUGUGCUGCAGAACCAUUUGCUGUGCAUGAAGAUUAGCUGCCAUGCCACUUCUGGUCAUUAGAGCUGGCUUUCUGGCCUGGUUAGCUUUGUUGGCUGGCUGAACCCACUCAGGGCUCCUCCAGGUGGCCUGUACAUUGAGCAUUCGCCCUGAUUUGUUUGCACAAAGUAUAUGCAGAGGUUGUAUGAUGUCCGCUCUUUAUUGAGCCCUCAUUCUGGAUAUUUUGCAGGGAAGUUAUAUGACAAUCAGCAUUCACCCCAAUUUGCUUGUGCAAUGUUUAUAUAUUUCCCUGUUAACCAUUUGUUCAUCCCACACUUCUCAGUGCAUUUCCCCAUAGCAUUCCUAACCACAAAAAGUCAUUGAAAGAAAAAAGUUGAUUUCCUGCACCAGAUUGACUAAGCACUUUAAUCUAAAUUUCGGGUACAUGCUUGAUUUCCUCUCACUAAAUACUCACAACCUAGAGGUGACCUCAGUUUCUGUUGUUGUAAAUCCAUGCACACCUGGCAAUUCUUCUUGUCUCAUCUAGAUGAUCAGUCCCUUUGGGAAUAAAAAAGCAAAGUUUUGGUCAUUAUCAGAUGCCAAGACUCACCAUUUUGAAGGCCCUUAGAGACAAGACUGUCAGCACUCUAUUGAACCACUGGUGAUACCCCAAGUUUCCAGAGUUGACAGUUAAAACGAAUGGCAACAGCAGCAAAUUCUCCUUUCCUUUGGCUCACAGUCUGGGAGGUUUACACAGUCUUAAGAAGACUCGACAGUGCAAGUGUUAUAUAAACCAAUUAUCCUUCAGAUACCUGUGCAGCAGGUAGCUCACAUUAAACCCACUCUCCAAAUGAACAAUUGUCGGCGAGAGAUUAAUUGGAAGCUUUUAAAAUAACCCUGAAAAUAGGUGUGCUCAUGUCAGUUAGUACACUGAGUUGAAUUAAAGCAUCACAAAUGAUGUGGUUUGUGUCUAAUUGAAAGUGAUUAAUGCUGACCAUGCAGCCUUGCUGUCUGCAAUAGAUGUCUUCUGCAUACAUCUGUGGGGAAGUGGUUAGCACUGCCCUUCCUUGGUUUGCACCUCCAGCAUAGUGCCAAAACACCUAGAGAGGGUGUGAUGAUUUAUGCAAUUAAUGAAAUGAAACCCCCCCAAAAUUGUGGGAAAACAUUUGCAAUUUUGUUCCCAGACACAAUCAUUUUCUUGUGCUGCAUUGGAUUUGUUUCAUGCUUGGUUGCUAAAAAGAUGAUUGACUCAUGCUGGUGCAGUGCUCAUAUUGCAGAGGGGUCCAGAAAGGGCCUGCACUCCCUUUUGCUACUGUUCACAGAAGGCUCUGGGGGCAUGAUUUGGCUAAAUUUGGGAGAAGUCAGGUGGUAGGGCUUGUGUAUUUCAAUAAUUUGGGCCUUUGGCCAAUGUGUGAAAUAUCAUUGUUGCCUUUUAUAUUACUAUUCUGCAACUGACACAUUGGGAUCUACAUGGCUCAUGUGUUUCUUAACCUAAAGAGGAAUGCAUCUUUUUUAUGGGAAGAGAGUUAACAGAAGGGGCAGAAAGAGCGUAAAAGGAAAAACCAGACACAAAGGAAGUUGGCCUCCUUUUUCUUUAAUACUUGUGCAGAAGAGAGAAUUGCUGGCAGUGUAGCUUUUCAUAGGACAUGUGCAAGUAAAGAUUCACUUGCCAAAACUCCCUCCUCUCUCCUGUUCUCCUUUGCAUCUUGUCACCUUUCACCAGCAAUAGCCAACAUUGGUACCCUCUAGGAAGUAUAACUUCCAUCAUCUCCUAUCAGCAUGGUCAAUAGUCAGGGAUGGCAGAGUUGGAUUCCAACAGCAUCUACAGGGCCACAAUUUCAGUUUGCUGUUGAGGAUUUACAUGCCUGAACCCAUACAAAAAACACAUAAACAAAACAAUCCCUGUACCUAGAAAAUUAGGGCUGAAAUUGAAUUUAAUAGAACUUAUUUCUGAGUAGACGUCCAUAGUGUCAUGACUCCUGACACAUAGGGCCGAGUUGCAAAUGUAAAGUAGAAGCCUAGGCUAGAACUCUCCUCCUGGAUAGGUUUGUUUUCUCUAUAGGGCAACCUUUGUGUGUGAAAGUGUGUGUGUGAAAGCAUUAAUUCAUGCAUUACUCCCACUUGCAGUGGGAAAGAAAUCAUAGCCCAGCCACAAACAUGCCACCUAAUAUUCUAUUUGUAAGAGUAAAGCGCAAAACGUAAUGGCAUUUCCUUACAAUUUGUGCCCAAUGCGUCUGGUUUAGGUUCUAGCUUGAAGAGCAGCCAAAAGCUAGGUAAAGGUAAAGGGACCCCUGACCAUUAGGUCCAGUCAUGGCCGACUCUGGGGUUGCGGCGCUCAUCUUGCUUUAUUGGCCAAGGGAGGCGGCGUACAGCUUCCAGGUCAUGUGGCCAGCAUGACUAAGCCGCUUCUGGCGAACCAGAGCAGUGCACGGAAACGCCAUUUACCUUCCUGCCGGAGUCGUACCUAUUUAUCUACUUGCACUUUGACGUGCUUUCGAAAUGCUAGGUUGGCAGGAGCAGGGACCGAGCAACGGGAGCUCACCCCGUCGCGGGGAUUCUAACCGCCAACCUUCUGAUUGGCAAGUCCUAGGCUCUGUGGUUUAACCCACAGCGCCAUAGUCUAAAACAGUAUUCCCAACCUAAUGCCCUCCUGAUGAUGUUGGACCAACCCUUAUCAGCCCCAGCCAGCAUGGGGAUGAAAGAAAUGAAGUUCCGAAUAUUUGGAGAGAACCAGGCUGGAGAUGGCUGUUCUAAGAUGUAUGGGUGGGGUCUAACAAAUGGCAAGUGUGUUAUGCUUCAUUCUUCCCCUUUCUUUCGAUGUUAAUUCACAUACUUCCUCUGUGGGUUUAUGUGUCCAAUUGCGGUUCAUACUAGAAGCAGAAGCAGCAGAAAAUCUGUGAGAAAGAUUGAAUUUUGCAUAUAAUUUCAGAAACCCUUUUAGAAAUGAAUUAAAGCCCUUCCACAUAGCAGGAGAACCCUCAGGCAUAAUUCUACAUAACUAUUAAUAUGCAGUAUAAAAUAUGCAGUAUUUUCUCUCUCAUAAAAGCAGUUUUACAACUGUGCUAAAGCUAAGUCAUAUUCAGGUCUCAAUUUUGACCUAAGCCUAUUUUGACCUUUUUCUUUUUCCACACUGUGAACACUAGACUUUUAAUAUUCAUCAGUCUUGCAUGCAAGUGAAGAAUUAAGUAGAUUUAGAUGUGAAAUGUUGGAUCCUCUAUGCAUUACAUUCUUAACCUAAUUUUACAUGUAACAUUGUAGAAAACAACUUUGAACUUCUCUUAUGACAUUUUUGUUCUGCAUGAAUGUUGUUUUAUAUAUGAUAGAAAGUUGAAGAAUACAGGUUCUGCAUUUCUGUUUUACAUAUGUGAUAGGACAUCACGUUUGUUUUUUUAAUUACCCUUGUUGAAGGGCCAGUCACCAAAGAACAUUGUGCAGAAGUAUUAAGAAAGUUGGCCACUUUGGGACACAAAGGAGGAAAGACAUGUUGCAGAAAAUAACAAAAGGAAAACUACUAGCCCGCAAUCUGUCCUUGAGAGCCAGGCCAUUUAGGGGUUGGUGAGCACUUGGUGUUAGUCUUUGUGGAACAAUCAGACCAGUACUGGGCAAUAAGGAAUGAUUGAGAUAGUCUAGCUGUUUCCUCAAAUGUCUCUAGCUGUUUCCCCAAAUUGUUCUGGUGGUGUCAAUAGAGUUGCACUGAAAUUGGAGCCCUCAGCCCACCUCCAGUUAGAAACAUUGGUCCAUCUAGCUUAGUAUUACAGUGGUUUUCGAACGCCUCCGUAGUCAAACGUUUCAGAACUCAAACGCUGAAAACCUGGAAGCAAGUGCCUCGAUUUUCAAACGCACCUUGGAAGUCGAACAGGAAACGCGGCUUCUGUUUUGAGUUUUCCGUUUUGAGGCUUCCACUUUCGGUUUUCGGUUUUCAAACGUUUCAGAACUCAAACGGACUUCCGGAACGGAUUAUGUUAGAAAACCGAGAUACCACUGUAUAUACACAGACAGGCAGAGGCUCUCCAUCAGUUUAGACAGGGUCUUUCCUAGCUGUAAGCGGAAAUGCUGGGAAUUGAACCUACAGCCUUCUUCCUACACAUGUGUGUAAUACCAAAUGAAACAAUGGCUUUCUGCACACAAACCUGUGCUCUAUUACAACCCCUCCCUAAUAAUAAUAAUAAUAAUAAUAAUAAUUCCACUAGCGCUUACAGUAAAACAAAUGAAAUCUUCAGUUUCUCAAGCUGGAUUGACUAAUUAAUGGUUUGAAGCCAGUGGUUUUAGACAUUGGAUGCCGUAAAGCAGAGCAGCAGGUUUUCUUAACGGAAUGCUCUGGACUGGAGAAUUGCCACCCCAUUCUGUGCAGCCAUUCAGUGGCAGCAUCACAGUGCAUCAGGGGUACAAAUGGGAGACAAACUGGAUCUGCCAAAUAACUUCAUUGCUCAAAAUUAGUAGGUCUGGGAGUCGCCACUGUCUUCAACCCCGGAGAGAUGCUGUAGACAACACUAAGGUAGGUGGACCAGUGGUAUGACUCAGUUUAUAAGGCAGCUUCCUAUGCUCCUAUGUGCAUAAAAGAAAGGGGUUCACACAAGGCCACGAGAGAGCUGCUAAAACCAUUACUAACAUAGUUCAUAUCCUUCAACAACAGUGACAGUGAUGGCCGAUGAAUGAGCACUGAUUUUAAACUUUGGAACACAGAUUUUAGUUGAAGGAGUGGUUUUUUUUUUUAAAUAUAAAUGAGUUUAUAGGGAAUUUCUAGUUACGUUCGCCUCUUGAUGCUGAAGAAGCGUGUGUUGCUGUUGUUAAUUUUGCUGUCCGGUCUUUGAUAAAGAUUGAUUGAUUGAUUGAAUCCUUCAACAAAUUAAAUUCCUUUAGAAGCACCUUGUUUCUUUUGGUAGCAGGACUGUAAACACUGGCAGAAAAGAAGAAAAGAGAACACAGUUCUAUGCCAGAUAAUUUAAAUAGUGUAGACCAAACUGAGCAUGCCAUUUGGCUCAUGUUGCAGCAAGAUAUGCAAAUGACUCCAAACCUUCUGAGAAUCUUGUCUUCAGCGAAGAUAACACAUCAGAAAGAAGAGCUCAUUCCCUAGGUUGUGCAAAAUGGAUUUCUGAGGAAGGGACGCAUGCCCCUACUCAGAGAAGUAUGAAUCCUAAAAUGCCCUCAUCUUUAAACACUUGCUGCCAUCUUAGGCACUUGAAGACAAAUCAAAUAAAUAUUUUAGUUUGUGAGCACCAUAUGGCUAACACUUCACAUUGCGGUGCCAGCUGCCAAUUUGUUUGUUGGUGUUUGGCUUUCAAGUUACUGCCUGAUUGAUAAUGAAAGCAUACACUUUCCAUUUCUUUGUCAGCAGUUAGAGGUAUGUUUCUGAGUUCAAAUACAGUUAACGUAGAAUGGAAAAAAUUAGACUUAUUCCCCACUCCCAUUGUUUGCAUGAAUUGACAUAUGAUCUACAUAGUACAUUUAUAAAAUUUUGGCUAUAACUGAUAGGAAUGGAACCACCAUAUUCAAAGUAAUAUUUACCAGAUACAUGAGAGUAAGGAAGACUACCGCCAUCAUAUCAUGCAUGCUGUAAGCUCCCAUUAGCACAUAGUUGGUCUUCAUUCCUAAUAGAAUGCUGGUCUAAUAGAGAAUACAUAUACAGUUGUACCUUGGUUGACGAACGUCUUGCGACUCAAACGCUUUGGCUCCCAAACACUGCAAACCUGGAAGUGAGUGUUUCAGUUUGCGAACGUUCUUUGGAACCUGAACGUCCAACGUGGCUUCCGCGACUUCCGAUUGAGUGCAGGAAGCUCCUGCAGCCAAUUGGAAGCCGUGCCUUGGUUUUCAAAUGUUUUCAGAAGUCAAACGGACUUCUGGAAUGGAUUCCGUUCGACAACCAAGGUACACACACACACACACACAUUCCCUAUUAGGGCUGUAUUUCCUUGGAAGAAAUCUCAAAGAGGUUACUUGAUAGGUGAGGCCACCCCCCCUCUCCCUUUCUGCAAUCCUUCCUUCCUUCCUUCCUUCCUUCCUUCCUUCCUUCCUUUCUGACGCACCCUUUCUCUCUCCUUCUCAUUGUCCAGUACACUGCUGUGGAAAGGGCAAAUCAAUCUUGUCAAAGGUCUGAACUGAUAGCCCCCCCCCUUUCUUUCUCAUGUCACUCAGCCCCCAGAUUUCCCCACCUUCAUUAAAUUAAGCUGCAAGAUCUAGAUGGACCUUUGGUCUGAUCCAGCAAUAAUUUAUUCUGUGUUUAAUUAGUUUAUUUCCCACUACUUUUUUUUAAGCCUUUGGUCCUUUAUAUUUAGUUAAUAUAAUUAAAAUAUCCAACUUUCUUGUUUCACUUCUGUUGCCUUCGGAAAUAUGGACCAAAACAUCUUACUUUGGCUAGUUAAGAUUGCCAUGAAUAACUUGAGAGCGUCCAUCCCACCUGUGACAAAGUGAUGAGUUUAAGGGAAGGGAUAACAUCUAGGCCAGUGUCUACAAAUGGAGCACUUGCACAUGGAGGUUACCCGAUCAUCUGUCUCCAUAUAUAUAGUAGGCUGUUUGCCUGUACAAUGCACUGCCUUGGAAAAUGCAUUGAGCAUUUCUUCUCUGUUCCUCUUGCUCUACAAACCCAUAGAAAAAAUGGGAUGGGAAUAUUCCAUGACAAAAGUGUAAGAUCUGCUGAAGAAAGUUUUAAAUCAGAACAGAAUGAAUUAUUUCCAUUUAUCUUCACUUGAGAUUAAUGCCUGCCCUUCUGUUAUUUUCUUCUUCUUCCUGGUAACAUAUCUGAAGAAAUGGACGUAUUUUCCCUUUCCAGACUUUUCAUGCCAGUGAAAUAGAGGUUGUGCUACAUCUGAUUCUUCUUUUAUCCUCUCUUUUAUCCUCCUCUGAUGAGACUUUCAUGCCCACUUGCCCCACAUGUGAUUGUGGAAAUUUGCAGUCAAAUCUAACAGUGCAUAUUCUUUCUAUUUAGCAUGUGGAGGGGUUAAGACCAUGCAGACCAUAGAAAAGUAAUAGGUAGAGAAGGCUCCGUGUGAUGUCAUUUCCCCUCCUCUCCUGGGAAGGAAGAAGCAAAAUGAGUACUUCCUGUUCCUUCUCCCCCUCUCUUCAGCCAACUGUGGGGGCAGACAUGCCUCAAAGUUAGCAACAGGCACCUGCCUGAAACUGUUUUUCUAUAAGCACAAGUAUUUUACCUUCAUUUAAUUUAAUGCUGUUGCUGCUAAGGACGAAUGCUUGACUGUGAGUUUUAUUUUAAACUUACUUUUCAAUCUGUAACCUGUUUCUUUGAAAAAUGUGGUAACGAAGGGGGAGAUCAGCCGAACAGCUAAUUCCUAUACUUUCAAUUAAACCGCCUAAGAUGGGAUUUAAACUGUUUAGCUCUGUGCUUUUAAAUGCAGCUGGUAAGCUGAUCCUUUUGUCUGUGAACCAACAUCCAUGGGUCUGUAACGGAAUGAAAUAUGGUUAUUAAAACCCAUAAGUGAUGUCAUAUGUGAUGUCAGGUGAGGGGAAGGCACAGAAGAAACCAAAAUGAAGCAACCAGGAACUUAAAGAGAGUUUCUGAUAGUUAACCCUGUCAGUGCUGAUCAGCUGAACAUAGUUGACAGGGAGCCCGACUGCUAUCAGCUGCAUGUCAGAGCUGCUAGCUUCAUGUCAAGUUCAACUGAGGGAGGCUUGCUUUCUCUGUGUGGAAGAAGUGGUUUGGAUUCAGGUGUCUGAAGAGGGGAAAAGCUCCAUUUACAAGGACUCAGGGCUGACCUCCCACAGAGCCACCAGCAAAUGCCACCAGUAAGUCUCCAAGAAAUCUCCUCUUUUACAAUACCAGAUGCUUCCAAAAGCCUGGAAGUUUAAAGCUGAUACUGGCUCCUGACAUCAUUGCCAAGGCUGGCCCCAAACCUUUUCUUCUUGUAAGGGGCUUAUCCACCUUACCUCUUUUCAGGCAGAGGUCUGUGCUUUAACACUUUGUGUCUGAGUGUGUGCUUUGAUUUUGUUUGCCCCGAGCUUCCCCUGCAAAACCCCACUCUUUAAAGCUGAAUCAGAACAAGGUCUGUUCCAGCAUUCCACAAAUUGAUAUUUGCUCCACUGGGACAAAAAAAGAAAAGUAGGGCAGGGGGUCCUAAGACACAGAUGUAUAAAUUUUCUAUCUCAAACCUUUAUUGGCAUAUACCGUAGAUAAAAUUCCAAAAGAUUCAGUACAAUACAAUCACUCCGCAAAAUCUGUAUCUAACAAGUAAAAUGCUGUUGCAUAACAUUCACAAACCCUCAUUGCAUGUUGCAGAAACCUGGCUACUAAGGAUCUUUUAAAUUGCAGACUGUGUCUGGAAAGAGCGGAGGAAAGGUAAGUGUGUAUAAGCCCAAGAUGGCAAACACACACACACACCAAUUCCAUUUACAGAGGACAAUUGCAUCUGCAGUUGAAUCUUCCUUCAACAUCAGCAGAAGGACAUUGGAGGGCAGAAGGUUUACUUAGGAGGCAGGGCAGGCAGGCUGGCUUUAUAGCACACUCAAGUUUGAACUCUUAACACUUUGCUGCUCAUCCCUGCUCCCUGCUCCACCACCUCAGCUUUGCUGUUGUUGUUUAGUUGUUUAGUCGUGUCCAGCUCUUCGUGACCCCAUGGACCAGAGCACACCAGGCACUCCUGUCUUCUACUGCCUCCAGCAGUUUGGUCAAACUCAUGCUGGUAGCUUCGAGAACACUGUCUAACCAUCUCGUCCUCUGUCGUCCCCUUCUACUUGUGCCCUUAAUCUUUCCUAACAUCAGGGUCUUUUCCAGGGAGUCUUCUCUUCUCAUGAGGUGGCCAAAGUAUUGGAGCCUCAGCUUCAGGAUCUGUCCUUUAAGUGAGCACUCAGGUCUGAUUUCCUUAAGAAUGAACAGGUUUGAUCUUCUUGCAGUCCAUGGGACUCUCAAGAGUCUCCUCCAGCACCAUAAUUCAAAAGCAUCCAUUCUUCGGUGAUCAGCCUUCUUUAUGGUCCAGCUCUCACUUCCAUACAUCACUACUGGGAAAACCAUAGCUUUUACUAUACGGACCUUUGUUGGCAAGGUGAUGUCUCUGCUUUUUAAGAUGCUGUCUAGGUUUGUCAUUGCUUUUCUCCCAAGAAGCAGGCGUCUUGUCUCGCUGUGCCUGAUGGUAAGGCUGGCCCUAGCCAUUGCCAUUGGAGGGAGGAAUGGGAGAGCAAAAAUACAACAGCACUGGGGUUUUUUGCAGCACUGUCUGUGGACAUAUGUUGCUUUCUUACAGCAUAGCCAAAAGGGGACCCUGCUUGCUACGUUGGGCAUGAUGCAGACAGAUCAGGAAUGGGAAAGCACCAUAAAGCCAUCUUUUUAUUUGUGAGGGCUCGGCAAUUCCUAGCUGCAGAUGAGCAACAAGCUGCUUUUUCAACGGCUGUUUUAAAGUGUGCCUUAACAUUCAAAAGCCAAGAAAAGAAUGGGAGAAAUUUGCAUUUCCAGUCCACAUUAUAGGCGUUUCAGUCGGUAUUGCUAAUUGCUUGCACACUUCCCAAAUGCACCAGAGUGGACAGGGCUUUUGCAUGGUGCCGCACUUGGCAGUUCCAGGUUUUCCACUUGGCGCAUAACGUUUUUGCGAGCCAUUUUCUUUUCCCUCCUCAAGCAUGGCGUAAUAGGCUUUAAGUUUGUUAAGCUGCGCUGCCAGCCCCCCUCCCAGUGCCCUGCUGUUCUAUUAUAUUGAACUUGUAAGCAGGACGCUCUGCCAGCUUCACCCAGAUUACUGCUGCAAUAAGGGCCCUGCUGAGUGACUAGUGUCAUGAUAAGUGCUAAGAAGGGAGCUCACCAUCUUGGCAUACUGUUCUCAUCUUAUUAAAUUCAGCUUUGUGGAAGCAGGGAGUCUGCCUCUCGGUCUGGCUGGCUCUACCUUGGUCCAACUGCUACUGUCAGACAAUAUGAAAUUAGGAGCCACCACAGCUAAUGGCAGGUGCUGCACCACAGCUGAGGAGUUGGGGAGGAGGAGGGGGAUGGAGAAAGAAAGAAAAGGAAGCAGUGUGUGUGUGUGUGUGUGUGUGUGUGUGUUUUUCAAGCCCUCGACAGAUUUAGAACCUCCAGCUUUAUACAUGUUGGUUCAGACCCUUAUAUUUUAAAGGGCCCUAAAAUUAGAUCACCCCAUGGCACUCAGAAAAAGGCAAGGCUUUAUUUACAUUGGUUAAGAUCCUUCUUGAAGGAGGGACAAUUGUAAACCAGGGUGGCUAACCUGCAGUUCUCCAGGUAUUGCUGGACUCCAUCUUCCCUGACCAUUGGCCAUGCUGGCUGGGAAGUCCAGCAACAUCUGCAGCAAACCACGUUGGGGAAAGCCUAUUUAGAGGUUUAACUCUAUUGCAAUUAUCUGUAUGGGUUAGUGAUGAUCUGGUUUUAUUCAGGCAAAGCUCUUUGUAAAUUAUUCUACUUUUGGUGUGUUCAUGUGCGAUUUUUAUCUGGCAGCGCAAUAGUUUUCCUUUGCCUCUUAUAUUUGGGCAAUGGUCUUUUGUAUCAUUCUUAUGCUUUUAAUUAGGUCUUUGAUAUUGUCCUUCGGAGACUACUUUUGCCAAAUGUUUGCCUGAGAUGUGAUGACUAUUUCCACCUGUGUAUUAGGUUACGGAUUUGUAAUAUUGGAAACAGCUCAAAAAUAUAUUUAUUUAAAAGUCCAGAUGUGAUGAGAGAUGUAAAAUUUGCUAUUGGUGUAAAAGAUUAAGUGACUUACUUCCUUUAACAAAAAAAAAAUGCAAUGUUUUCCUGCUGUCAGAGAAUUGCUUGAAAGACUCCCCUCCUCAGUUAGUGUUCUUUCUUCCUUCUGAGUGACACCCACCCCCCACUGCUAUUCAUUUUUAAGGAUCCCUUGCGCUCUAGGUGCAACUAAGAGGAAUCAGCAUGACUGCUGGUGCAAUGCCCAUGCUGGACUGUAGAACAUAUAGUACCAUGUGCUUAAAGAAACCAAACCUUUUAGAAACAUUUUUAUUGAAAUGAAAUGAUUAUUUUCUACAUUAUACAAAGCAAUUAUACAAUAAAUUGAACCUUUUGAGUCUUAAUGCUUUACACGUUUUAGAAUACCAUACUUACAUAUGCUGGGACACAACCAACAGGGUAUAAAAACAAGGCAUAAAGUCCUAAGUAGAAGACACUCUCCAAAAAGAUUUAUGAAAGAUUGGAGCCUGUACCUUGCUAUGAGUAGAGUUAACAUAAAAGGUGAAAUACAACCAUGUGCUCAGAAAUGUAUCCUGUUUUAUUUUGUCCCUGUCCAGUUUACUUUUGUUUUUUUCUUUUAAAAAAUUGGCUAAUGUCAUUUGCCAAAUCUUACCAUACUGCCUUCACGAAGAAAGCUGUUUUUUGCUAUUCUUGCAGUAUGUUAUCUCUAAAUGAGCCACAGUUAACAAGUGCAUUACUAGCUCUUUAUGCAGGACUGAUUUAUUUAGACCUCAGAAGAUAGAGAGCAAGUCCAGUGCUGAGUGCAGUUGAACUAAGCAAAAACUUUUUGCCAAAAAUCCUGAACCAAGGCACAACCCCACUUCAAUGUUUUAAUAAUCUGAAAAUGAAAUAGGCAAAUCAAUAGGCAAGGAAGGGAAAUCCAUAAGCAGUCAGCAUGCUCUGCUUGUGUACAUACCUGGUUGUUUGCCAAUAUAUUAAAAAGCUCCUUAUUUAAAUCAACUCAAAUAUAAAUUUAAUGUGUUUCCAAUUUAAUGUAUACUUGACUGUUUUGAUCAAGACACUGAUGUAGAGCACAGCUCUACAGUACAGUAUAUCAAAUUGAGAUCAGUACAAAAUCCAGCCUUAAAAAUCCACCCUCUUACUGUCGGAAUAGCUAAAACCUGGCAGGCUGCAGUUCAGCAGUCUACUUUCUGGCCCUGUCAGUCUUCAUAAGAGUGACAAAUUUGAUUAGAUCCAUUGAGAGGAGUGACUAAUAUUAAAAAAUCACUUUUACUUCUGCCCUUGAAAUGGCAGAAGGCAGACUGACAAUCAUUUACCACUACAAUAAAGUAAUGAGAUGAUAUAUAAGAACAAAGAUCUUGGGAUCUGAUCCAGCAGGAUUCUUAUAUUCUUCUGAAUAUAUACAAAUUGUUGUUACAUAUAAAAUAUGAUAUUUGAAAUUCUCAUCAAUAUUGUAAUAUACUUUUUUUAAAAAGCCUUCCUAGAAGUUUCUGGUGGGUCUCAUUCAACCGCAACACUGUUCCUACUGAACUCAUAAAGGUGCCUACCAAUUUAAUAUUUAAGCAUGUACUGAACUUAUUUCUGUUUCACCAAAGCUUUUCAUAGAAUUCAUUUGAUUGAGAGUUGGCCAUUCAUUCUGUAUUUUAUGAUAUUUUAAUACUUUUAUUGUGCACCACCGUGAUAGUUCCUUAUGAGCUGGCAGUUUAGAAAUCCUCCUAUAAAUAAAAUACAUAUACAGGAAUUAAUUUCAAAAUUGUUGUGCUACAGAGACAGCAUACAGACAGCCCUGCUCGAAGUGCUGCUAGUGAAACAACCCAAAUAAAUGCCACCUGAAACAUGGCUUCCUCAGGUGAUAUUAGGAGAUGAGCUGGUUCAUGUAAUGAAUGGUGUUCUCAGUCCAGUGAUAUUAUUCACACAGGCUAGCAAAAAUUUUAUUCGUUAACAUUAUACCUUGAUUUGCAUCCAGUUAGGCUAUCAGUGUGAUUAUCUAAUCAAGGGUCUUAUAUGAUCCCACAAGCCUAUAGAUGUAAGGUAAAGGUAUAGGACCUCUGGACGGUUACGUCCAGUCAAAAGCGACUAUGGAGUUGCGGCGUUCAUCUCACUUUCAGGCUGAUGGAGCCGGUGUUUGUCCACAGGCAGCUCUCCGGGUCACGUGGCCAGCAUGACUAAACCAAUUCUGGCACAACGGGACACCGUGACGGAAACCAGAGCGCACUGAAACAGUGUGUACCUUCUAGCCAUAGUGGAACCUAUUUAUCUACUUGCACUGGUGUGCUUCCAAACUGCUACGCCGGCAGGAGCUGGGACAGAGCAACAGGAGUUCACCCCAUCACUGAGAUUCGAACUGCUGACCUUCCGAUCAGCAACCCCAAGAGGCUCAGUGGUUUAGACCACAGCCACACCCACGUCCCUUCUCCUAUAGAUGUGAUAGAAUGUGGCCUGCUGCAUUCCAUACUGGCAGUAGUUUCCAAGUGAGGAGCUGAGUGAAGCAACCCGAGUAAAACCCUAAAAGCCACCCUACUGCAUAGUUUGAUUAGUCUGCAGGGUGAUUAAGACCUGAUAGAACCAAUGAGUACAUCAGCUACAAUUUGAACACCAGGCUGAAACCAGAGAACGACCAGUUAUCACCAUUGGUCUCUGCCCAGCCACAGCAAAAGCAGCCUCAAUGUAUGCAGAGAUAUGCAUACAUUGUUUGGUGUUUGUUAAACCAGACAAUAGCUGUUGGUUAAGGUGAACUGGGAUGGCCAGUAGUGUAACAUUGAAUUGGAUCCUGUGCCGGAAAUGAGGUUUUAUAAAGUAUCUGCUGCUUAUCUGUUUUAUAUUCAAUGAGUUAAAUUGUGUACAGAUUUUAAUUGUGUAGUUAAUAAUGCUUUAUUGUUUUGGUGUGAUCUUUUAUAGUAAGCUCCUUUGGGAGUCUCUAUAAUCCUGAAAAGUGGCAUAAAAAGUAAUUUAAAUACAAUAUAAUAAAUAAAGCCCUUUUGAAUUCAAUGGGACUUGCUUCUAGGUAAGUGUGUAUAAGACUGCAGCCUAAGUUCCUGUGACAUAAUAGUAUCAGCAGUUUAAUCUUACCCCCCAAAUUAGAAAAGCAGUUCAGUCUGCUUCUUUUUUUAGUGCUCCAUCAGAAUUAUUGCCCAAAUUAUCCAACACAGAAUUUGUGCUUCAGGGAACUUUAGAGACAGCCGGGGAAGCUAACAGCAAAUGGGAGUUCCUCUAACAAAUAGAUUCUAAUUGCUUUAUAAACAAUAAUUGUAGGGAAUCCUAUUUGGGACUGUAUCAUGACUGGCUUGUAACUGUAUAGCACCGUACAUGCUAAAAGGGGAGGCGGAAUGCUAACGAAGCAAAAUGCAAUAAGCAAUUUCUUUUGGGGGACGAGGCAGAUUAUAAUAUCAUUGCAUAAUAACAAUGUGCUAAUUGCUCCUUUUGACCAUGUGCCCGUUUUACUAAGCUUUUGCGUCAAUGUGCUCUGUACCCUGAAUUACAAAAGUAACGCUGCAUUAUUUCACGGCACAGCUUUGAAAAUCUUGGUAGGACAUUAUGUAUUAGCAUUAAUUAGAUGCAAAAAAGGGGACAGAACAAAGGUACUCACUAGCAGUUUAGAAAAGCCUUGGUGAUAAUGACACGGAUUACAAUUGUUGCAUUUUCUUUCAACUGAUGCUGGAGAAAGCAAACUCUCAACUUACAGCAUGUUACAUGGAAGUAAGUCCCACUGAUUGUUGUGGGAUUUGGUUCCAGGUAAUAUGUCUGGGAAUGCACAAUUUGGGAUAUGGCAUUUCAGGAUUUUCUCUUGGUAAUAAAUGCUAUACAAAACCCCCAAGAAGCAUAAGCAAUAAUUGGCAUCAGUUCAUUAAUUAUCUAAGAAACAAAGUGUGAACUCCUUAAAAGGACAACUGGCGUUAAUGUUUUUCCAAAUAUAUUUGAAAAAUAGCAGUGAUAUCACAAAAGAACAAAAUAUGGUUGGUUCAUGACAUUGAAUGGGGCAGAGAGUGUGUCAUUUUGCCCCAUCUUUUGCUAUGAGCUUAAAUUUGAGAGAUAGUGAGAUAGCCACGACUGCCUAUAAAAUGGAUAUUCGCAUAUAUGAUUCGGUGAGUGGGCCUGGUUGUCUGUCUUUGAUGUAUUUCAGUUUGCCAAUAGUUAUGAUGUUCCCCAUGCAUUGUUAUUUUUGUUCAUACUAAAAUAUGCUAUUUAGUCUAUACAAAUGCCUAAGAAGAUCUUACCCAAUAGUUUUGUGCUGUUUUAAAACGCGGAAUUUUAAUUGUAGUGAUUGUGGUUUUUAUAAUGCUGUAGCUUCGAUUCUUAACUGAAGUAUUAAGCAGUAUAGAAAUUGCAUGAAUAAAAACAAAUAAAAUAUGAUAGUACAGAGAGCUGUGGCUUUCAAAUUGGCCAUUAGCUGUGGUCAUAGGUUAUGGCCACAGGAUAGGCCUGUAGCUGAGAAUAAGUACCCCAGGUUCCACAGAGUAUGAAUCAUAGAAUCAUAGAAUCAUAGAGUUGGAAGAGACCACAAGGGCCAUCGAGUCCAACCCCCUGCCAAGCAGGAAACACCAUCAGAGCACUCCUGACAUAUGGUUGUCAAGCCUCUGCUUAAAGACCUCCAAAGAAGGAGACUCCACCACACUCCUUGGCAGCAAAUUCCAAUGUCGAACAGCUCUUACUGUCAGGAAGUUCUUCCUAAUGUUUAGGUGGAAUCUUCUUUCUUGUAGUUUGGAUCCAUUGCUCCAUGUCCGCUUCUCUGGAGCAGCAGAAAACAACCUUUCUCCCUCCUCUAUGUGACAUCCUUUUAUACAUUUGAACAUGGCUAUCAUAUCACCCCUUAACCUCCUCUUCUCCAGGCUAAACAUGCCCAGCUCCCUUAGCCGUUCCUCAUAAGGCAUCGUUUCCAGGCCUUUGACCAUUUUGGUUGCCCUCCUCUGGACACGUUCCAGCUUGUCAGUGUCCUUCUUGAACUGUGGUGCCCAGAACUGGACACAGUACUCCAGGUGAGGUCUGACCAGAGCAGAAUACAGUGGCACUAUUACUUCCCUUGAUCUAGAUGCUAUACUCCUAUUGAUGCAGCCCAGAAUUGCAUUGGCUUUUUAGCUGCCGCAUCACACUGUUGGCUCAUGUCAAGUUUGUGGUCAACCAAGACUCCUAGAUCCUUUUCACAUGUACUGCUCUCAAGCCAGGUGUCACCCAUCUUGUAUUUGUGCCUCUCAUUUUUUUGCCCAAGUGCAAUACUUUACAUUUCUCCUGUUAAAAUUCAUCUUGUUUGUUUUGGCCCAGUUCUCUAAUCUGUCAAGGUUGUUUUGAAGUGUGAUCCUGUCCUCUGGGGUGUUAGCCACCCCUCCCAGUUUGGUGUCAUCUGCAAAUUUGAUCAGGAUGCCCUUGAGUCCAUCAUCCAAGUCGUUGAUAAAGAUGUUGAAUAAGACCGGGCCCAAGACAGAACCCUGUGGCACCCCACUAGUCACUCUUCUCCAGGAUGAAGAGGAACCAUUGAUGAGCACCCUUUGGGUUCGGUCAGUCAGCCAGUUACAAAUCCACUGAGUGGUAGCAUAGUCAAGACCGCAUUUUACCAGCUUCUUUACAAGAAUAUCAUGGGGCACCUUGAUUGCUGAAAUCAAGGUAGGCUACAUGAAGGAGGAUUUGGAUUUAUUGGUGCAUGGAAAGAAUCCUGCGCUUGCCCUGAAUAGGGGGCAUGUGGUGGUAGCUGGGGACUACCUCUCGAGAGAAGUAGAGACAGCGGUGUGUUGUUCUGACAUGUUUUCACUGAAGACAUGUCAUUUCCCUGAUGCAUGUGUCCAGGAUAUGAUGGGAAAUGUGGCCAGGCUCAUAAGGCCUAGUGACUGUUAUCCCUUCCUGCUAAUCAGUGCAGGAAUAAACGACACGCCCAGACACAGCUCUGAGUGUAUUGCAAGUGACUAUGAAGCUCUGCAUAAGAAGCUGAAGGGCCAUGGGGCACAGGUAAUUUUUUCAUCACUUUUUCCUACUGAAGGCUGUGACCUAGGAAUGGAGAGGCGAAUACUGGAAGUGAAUGACUAACUAUGCAGAGGACGUCAUCAGGAAAGGUUUGGAUUAUUGGAUCAUGAUCUGUUCUGCAGUGAUGAAGAACUUCUGGUGAAAGAUAGGUUGCUCCUCACAAGGAUUGGGGAGAAUGUGUUUGGCAAGAGCCUUGCAAACUUGAUCAGGAGGACUUCAAGCUAAGUUCUGUGAUGGAAGAUGAUAAAAUCCUUGAAGACAGCAUGGUGCCAUGUAAUGUGGACAUGAGCAUAGAAAAACCAAUAUAGUGUCAUGUGUAGCUGGGUGAUAUAUCGAUAAAUUGUCCCAAACUACUUUGAAGUCCAUGUCAUGAUACCGGUUUCAUAAUUUUUGACCUGGCAAUAUAUCAUGAAUGAUGGUUUGUGCAUGUGCGCUAUGCCAAAAUUAUGAUGCAGGGGAAAAUGUGAAGUCAGCCAAUGCCUCUACAUAGCUCUGUCCUUAUUUCAAACAUUGUGAUAUAUCAGUAUAUCACAAUGUUUAGCUGGUGAUAGACGGAAAAGGGAUCUAAUAUUAUCUUGGCAGAAGGAAGACCAGACAAUAACCUAAAAAAUGAGUCAGCAGUGAAAUGCAACAGCCAAAAGUAUAUAAUACAACUGUAGCUUAUGUGAACAGAAGUAUAUUGUCCACAUCACAAGAAAUCAUGGUACCAUUGUAUUCUGCUUUGGUCAGACCUCACCCUGAUCAUCUAGUUCUGGGCACUACCAUCUAAGAAGGAUGUGAAUAAACUGGAACAUGUUCAGAGGAUGUUGACAAAGUCAAUGGGCCGGAGAUCAAGUCCUAUGAAGAAAGGUUGAAAGAAUCGAAUAUGGUUAGUUGGAAAAGAAGCAAUUAAGAGGUUAUAAGAAAGUCAUCUUCACAUACUUGAAGUGCUGUCAUGUAGCUGGUGGACCAAAUUUAUUUCCCCUUUUUCAAAACCCACACCAAUGUGUUCCAAUUACAAGAAUUGGAGAAGAACUUGCUGACAGUUUGAGUUGUUUGACAGUGGAACAGGCUGCCUUUGAAAGUGGCGGACAGUCCUUUUUUUGCAGAGGUUUUUAAGCAGAGGCUAGAUACCUACCUAUCAGGAAUGGUGAAUGUUUGUUGAAUUGGCAGGGAGGUCGACCAGGUUCCUUUGAGAUCCUUUCCAAUUCUAUGAUUCUACAUGGAAAGGUUGAGAGCUACUGGAAUGCGUGAAGAAUGGAUGGGAAGCUCUGCAUUUGGACCUCUUAGCCCUCCUGGUCCUUUUCAGCCCCUGAUCUGUAGUGAAAAAUACACAACCCACCAGCACUACUUCCUCCCCCAGAAGAAAAAAGCCUUUGCAAAGGGGUUAUCUCUUAUGACAUGCUUUAAGAGGUCAAGAAAGAACCACUAUUAGCGUGAUCUGCUCCCCUUUGCAAAGCUGAAAUGUUUUCUUUACAUAACCUUUUCAUUUAGCAGGAGAGCUGGACCUAGAAUAAAACAAGAAGGAUAGGGGGAAUAUUUCAUUUUAGCACCUUUCAACAUCUGUGCACCAUUGCCCACUGCUAAAAAUUGCCCAUUGUUCGGGACAGAGGGCAGAGGUGCUUUUCCCCCUCCCGCUGACUGAGCACAUACAGUCAAAGUCUUUUCUAUCUCCCUUAUGCCUGAUGUCAACAUUAGAUGCCAUCUUUAGUAACAGCUGUGGCAGGCGCCAAGUGACAGCAAAAGGCAAACAAUGGAAGACAGAGCCAAAAAGUUGAAGUCCCUGCUUCCCUCCACAGGGCAGCCAUGGUAUGUAGAGACUGGCAGUCUGGGCAUAGGACACAGCUGUUAAAAGCAUUUUAGUUUUCUAACCUGAAUCUCUGGGAAACUUGAUGAUUGUAAGUGACUCAGAUAAGCAUGUUUCUUCCCCCACCCCCAACUUCCCUUGAAACACAGCCAAAGUGAAGUUUGCAGAGUUUUGACUUCCUAACACUGAAUAAGGACAGCUGGAUUCAGCACAUGGUAUGCCAAGGGUUUCUAAAAGGAACCUCAUAUAUGUUGAACAGUUUACAGUACAUUGUCCAAAUGAAAAUGUGAAGCAUUGAAUUAAAUGGUCAAAUAAGUCGAAUAUUUUCAGGAAUGCAUUGCACGUAGCUGCAAAUUACAUAUGAUGUAAAAAGUGUUGUAGUCAAGAAAUAUUUUUUUUUUUUAAAAAAACAGCAGUAAGGGAGGGCAAUCAAUAUCAGGGCUCUUGCACACAGAGAGGGAAGUUAACUCUUCCCUCUGCAUUGUGGUCUGCCUUCCAACCAAAGCUGAACGUAAGUAAAACCCUGCUAGAUCAGACCUAUUGAGUCUAGUAUACAAUUAACCAGAUACCUAUUGGGAAAACCCACAGGCAGGACAUGGGUGCAAGAGUUCUCUGCCAUUGUUGUUUUCCCACAACUAAUAUUCAGAGCUGUGCAGCCUCUGGUCCUGGUAUAGGUAAAAAGGUAAAGGACCCCUGGACAGUUAAUUCCAGUCAAAGGUGACUGUGGAGUUGCGACCCCCAUCUCGCUUUCAGGCCAAGGGAACCGGCAUUUGUCCACAGACAGCUUUCUGGGUCAUGUGGCCAGCAUGACUAAACCACUUCUGGCGCAACAGAACACCAUGAUGGAAACCAGAGCGCAUGGAAAUACCCUUUACCUUCCCGCCACAGCAGUACCUAUUUAUCUACUUGCACUGGUGUGCUUUUGAACUGCUAGGUUGCCAGGAGCUGGGACAGAGCAACGGGAGCUCACCCCGUUGCGGGGAUACGAACUGCCAACCUUCUGAUCAGCAAGCCCAAGAGGCUCAGUGGUUUAGACCACAGCACCACCCGCCUCCAUACUGAUAACCUGAAAUGGCACUCUUUCAGUUUCCUUCCAGCAGUUAUUUGCACUGUGCCAUUUCUGAGAAUCCCCCCUGCACAUCCAGAAACUUGAUGCACUGCAUAUGGAAAUGUGUGUGUGGGGGGGGGGGGGUGUUUCAGAAGCCCUUCUACUUGUUGAGAUCUGGACCUGUAUCUCUGAAUUUUUUUCUUAUGGGUGUGUUAUCUUUACAGCCUAUUCUCAGUGAUCUGAUUCCUAGAUACCAAGAUCUUAGUUUUUAAGUUGGAAUAUAAUAAUAUAAUUUUACAUUUGCAUGAUCCUUUUCCUAAUGAGGGAGCACAAUCCUUUGAAAACUGCAGGACAGGCGUUAUCGUAUUUUUCUCCUUAAUAAAAAAGAAUUCUCUAGAUGGGGUGGGUGACUAAGCAAGCACAUGGUUCAAGAUCCUCAUUUGAUUAUUUUUACUUCAACAUUGUCAUUGGUGGCAACUUUUGCACUGUCAUUUUCUAGGGCAAAAGUAGUGUUUUUAUUUCCAAAGUAUGUUUAUGUAUCAAGGGAAAAGAUUUAAACUCCAUGUUAUUCCUGUAGCUGCUAUUAUUUCAGUGAAUUCACAAUGCAAAGCUGCACAUACUUUUUAAAAAAUCAGGGUUGGCAAACAUUAUUAUUCUUAUUAGCUUAAAAUAUGAGGAAUGUAGAAGCAGUUGUAUAGAAUGGUGGCGUGGGGGGGGGCAGGGGCGAAAGAGAAAUGUCAGUGGCACAUCUCGCAAAUGAAGUGAUACACCUGCCCAUCUAAAGGUGCUCUACAUAGGACCAUUAAGUCCAGGUUCUAAAAGCUGCACCACUGGAACUAGGGAAGGAGAAGAAUGGAAACAGUUGAAUGUUUUUAUUAUAAAGAUAUCAGCAAUGGAAAUGUAUAUUUGAAUGUGAAUGUCAUUUUGGAAAUGGUAAUACAGUCAUGCCUUGGUUCUCAAACAGAAUGUGUUCCAGGAGUCCGUUCGACUCCUGGAACCGUUUGGAAACCAAGGCACAGCUUCCGAUUGGCUGCAGGAGUGUCCUGCAGCCAGUCGGAAGCCACAGAAGCUGCGCCAGAUGUUCAGCUUCUGAAACUCAUUUGAAAACCGGAACACUCACUUCCAGGUUUCGAUCGUUCAGGAGCUGAUUUGUUCGGGAGCCAAGGCGUUUGAGAUCCAAGGUACAACUGUAAUUAAAAUUAUACAGUAAAUAAAAUUAUAAAUAAAUAAAAGCGGCACCACUGCCAGCUUUGGAUUUGGCAUGACUAACGAUGUAUACUUACUUGACAUAUCCAGGAAAACGCUAUCAAAACAAGGAAGUAGAAAAGCUAGGAGGCAAGAUGGAAUGGGUCUGCAAAACUGAGGCAGAAUUCACUAUAAGAUAUCCAUGGCUGGGGGUGGCGAGAAGGGAAAACAACCCGGAGUGUAAGCGACAGUGCUCCCAGCAGGCAGGCUGCUGAACUUCUGCACCUUGCCUCCUCUAUGACCCUCACUUCACCAGUCCUCCUCAUUCCAAUGUAGCCUCACAUUCACUGCCUGGUCACCUCCUAUUGAACCAAGGUGAGAAAAUAAGAUGGCGUUAGCUCUAUUAACACAUUUGCUCAAGUGAAAUGGAGAGACGGGGAGUCAAGGCCUUGUCAUGUUUUGCAUCAAACUGAUGCAACAGGGUCUGCUGGGGCCUUGGGCUUUUGGAGCGGAACCUGGCCGUGGGCAAUUAGAACCAUCAAGCCACAAAGUCAGCAGCCGCUCUCGACUCAGUGGGAGAAGUUUGGGCUUGUCGGCUAGAAUUCCAACUUUAUUCUCUCUUUUGAGGGAGCCCUGCAAUCGAUAUGGAUCAUUGUAUAGCUUUCGCGGCAAGCGACAAAGAAAAUAACCUGUAGUGACCUCAUCCUGCAUGUGUGGUCAACAUAGAUUUCGUAUCAAAUCUGGCAACUGGAAAUGAAAACCUAAGGCUUUUAUGGUCCUUCUUACAACUGUCCUUUUCCGAUAUUUAACCAAAAGAAUCUUCCUGACAUCUUUAAAACCUGAUGGCCAGGAAAUAAACACCAUCCUGGCUGCAUAAUGUGUUUGAAGCCCUGACUCAAUGAAAGUUUCAUCCCAUUUAGGAAACUAUGCUUUUAAAUUACAAACUGCAUUUUAAACAUAUUUACAGUAUGAGAAGGAGGCAUACAUUGGGAAUCCAACGUGGGGUAGUGGAUCUGUUGUUUGAUUCCUCUUGAGAACAACGGAAGAUGCCUUAUAUGAACUCAGACUAUUUGUCUAUCUAGCUUAAUAUUGUCUCCACAAAUUGGCAGUAGCUCUAAGUUUUCAGACAGAGGUCUUUCCCAGCCCUACGUAGUGAUGCCAAGAACUGAACCUGGGACAAUCUGCUUGCAGUUUGGUGCUCCACCACUGAGCUAAAGUCCAUUUCCUCUUGUGUUUCUACAUCUUCCUCCUGGAUGUUGAUGUUCUUUAGAACAACACUAGCAGGCUGGCUGACAAGAACUCUGCACUUCAUCCUGAUAGGUUUUGUACCAAUUUAUUAUUCCAGUGCCUCAAAUUAUGGACACCCACCUUUGGAUCUGGCUAUUGACUUUGAUGUGUGAAAAUGUACCACAAAAGGUUAUGCAUUUGGUUAUUUUUUUAAUUACGACAUUUAUACCUCACCAUUUGUUUGUUUGUUUGUUUAACAUUUAUACAGUGGUACCUCGGGUUACAUACGCCUCAGGUUACAGACACUUCAGGUUACAGACUCUGCUAACCCAGAAAUAGUACCUUGGGUUAAGAACUUUGCUUCAGGAUGAGAACAGAAAUCAUGCUCCAGCAGCGUGGCGGCAAUGGGAGGCCCCAUUAGCUAAAGUGGUUCUUCAGGUUAAGAACAGUUUCAGGUUAAGAACAGACCUCUGGAACGAAUUAAGUACUUAACCCGCAGUACCACUGUAUACUGCUUGAGUGUAAACAAAACAAAAAACACCUCUAAGUGGUUUACAAAAAUAAAACAUUAAAAUUAUCAAUGAAAGCAGUUUUAAAAGUUAUCUAAAGACAUUACUAAAAAGUUUAUUAAAAUCAACAUCAGCCAAAAAGAGAUGAAACACUUCUAUAUGUCAGGAUAGAUUUGCCUAAACAGAAAUAUUUAAGCAGAAAAGAAAAAGGCUCUCAGAGCAGCCUUACAAAAAUCAGUUCUAAGAAAUGGUCUCUGCCCUCAGGCUCACAAUGUAAAAAUACAUGGCACCCAAGGAAAAAAGAGUGAGAGGGAGAAAGGGAAGAACAAGCUCAAGGACAAAUUCUUCUAGUUGCAGUUUUUAUAACAGAGUUAUGUAAGUUUAGGCUGAGGAGAUUUCAAACUGAGGAGUACUCUGCCAGUGCCAAAACAAGUAUUACUAUUAGUUCAUAGCACCAGAAGUCCAGCACUGGCUAAAUGUGUUAAGUACACAUUAUUGGUGCAGACAAGAUCCAAAUUUAGCAAAACACUGGAAUAAUUUGUCAUGGGUAUAAACAGAAAAAAACAUGAGGAGAUGAGGGGGAAGGGUGAUAAAAUAAUAGCACAGUUACCUAGUAAGACUAGAAAUUAUCUCUCACGUGACAUGCACAGGAGCCAACCGUUUUAUUCGGGGAGCCCAAUAAAAUAUUUGAGGGGUCUGCCCCCCCAGAGUCAAUGGGCAUUGCCAUUCAAAUUGUGUCUGUGCUGCAUCUUGUGUUCAGUUAUGUGGGGUGGGGAUCCCCCCCCUGUUUUAUUCAGGUUGGCACCCUUGGUGCAAUGUAUGUUCAUUUACAUAGUAACCUUGUAUUUCUAUGGCCUGCUAGUCACCUUGUGUCCUGUGUUUGCUGUAUGGCUACUUAUCAAAUCAGAUGAAGGUCAACAAAAAGUUGAGCUUAUAGAGGAAUCCGUUUCAGUCGCAUGGAAAUCGUCGGGCACAUCUUGCUGCUUCUAUUUUAUAAGCUACCAUGUUGAUAGUUUAAAGACGAACAUAAAACAAGCCCUGCUAGAUUAGACCACUUUCCUUUUCUCGCAGUGGGCGACUAAGUGCCUAUGGGAAGCCCAUAAGCAAGACCCAAGUGCAACACCAAGUGAUUUCCAGCAACUAGUUUUCAGAGGCAUACUUCUUCCAAUGCUGGUGGUAGUUCAUAGCCAACAACAUGAGUAGCAGCCAUUCAUAACAUCCUCCUCCAUGGAUUUGCCUUACCCUCUUUCAUAGCCAUCCAAGUUCAUACAUUCAUUCCUUUUAUUUGUAUGCUACUUUUUUUACGCAUGCAUACAUGCGCAUGCACGCACACACACACACCAUGCUCACAGCUGGUGGCCAUUACUGUGGGGGCAAGUUCCAAGAUUUAACCAUGCUAUGUGAAAUUUGAUGUUAGCAUAGCCUUUCUCCGAAAGACUGUAUUGUGUUGAAUUCUGUCAUUUAUACACUUCCCUGUGGCAUCCAAUUUGCUGACUAAAGUACAUAGUAUUGCAUUGCCCGUAUUUUAGAUGGCUCAGUGUACCAGCCACUUAUUUUCUCUGCUGAAGUCGUACUGUGUUUUAAUAACUUCUGAGUUUCCUGAAUCUUUAUUUGUAAGGCUUCCUGAAUUUUUACCUGACUAUUUAGUAAUAUAAAUUUUACAAGCAUGGCUAGGACUUAUCAACAGGCAAUGGGUUCUACUUCCGCCUACUGGUGAAUUGGCAGCCUGCUGUAAUUAUUGCAACUCAACUCCUUCCUUAAGCCUGCACGUCCUUUAUUUUGCUUCUUCUUCAAAUCUCAGAGGAUUCUUGCGUUUCAGAUUCUCUCAAGUUUUAUUUGGAACAUGCAUUUGCUUUUGGUGGCUUCUUGUAAGUCUGGCUCUACCCAAAUGGCUCAUUGACCAGUAUGCAGUGAUGGAGAAAUAAUAGAUUUCUCCUUUGCUCUCUCUCUUUCGUUUCAACCAGCUCAACCCAUUUAAGAAUCUAUACUGUAUCUUCAGCCAAUAAAAAAACGCCAAAUCUGUCAGGUGCCUUUGCUUUAAUCCCACUCGUGUGAAAAAUAAGAUUUAUCAGUUAUUAAGCUGUUUAUUUCUUUUAAGGUAUCUAGCUUUGUGUCACUGUUGGUUUCACUAUUUGCAAACUGGCUUUGUUAUUUUAUUGAUAGCUCUUGAGUGAAGAACUCUCUGUUAAUAUAUGCAAACUCACAGCUCUCAACAAGCUUUACAGCUCUGUUAAUGAGGGGAUUAACAAGAGCAUGGCAAUGUAUUUAACCUGCGGCACUAGCUCUGUUUCAAUAAGGCUUCAACAGCCUAUUAAAUGGAGUGGGGGCUCAAUUAACCCAGACAAAGGCCACUCUACAGAACAUGGCAGGGAGGACCACAGUUAGCAUCUGCCUAAGCAGCUUGUUCUGAGCUGGAAAUAAAGAGGGUGACAUGUUCCCGCCCCGAGCUAUGAUAUAACUGAAAUGGUGAUUCUAGUUCAUCUGGGCUGACUGAAUAGGUGACAGCAUCAAAACCCACCACUAUCUCGCCAUAUGACAGUCUGUAAAAUCCGAGUGCACUCAACGGUCACCCCAGAGCCUCCUGCACUUCGGCAUUCAAGUAUUGUAACCGUGCCGGAGAGGGUUCGGUGCAGAAAGGUGGUGACGCCCGGGCAGUCUUGGGGCACUCGGUAUGAAAAGGCCUUUCAGGAUAUGUGUGAGGUUUAAACAAUUUCCUGUUGGAUAUCUCCUGGGCAUAAAGAUGUUGCUGGCCCUCCAUCAACAUGUUGCUAAAGCUAAUGUCGCACUGUGGCAUUGUAUGGUGUUUACUGAAAGCUGUCAUCCAAAAUGAAUGGGGAAGGAGUCAACAAAAGAGGCAACUGGCUGGUGCCGUCUUCGGGAAAGUGUGUGUAUAGUUUUAGGCAUGUUGAAGGCUGGGCUGGGCUUUGAUUUGUUUCUCUUGCUUGCAUUUUUAAGACACAAGGGGGAAGCAGGAACAGGGGAAGGAAAUGAUCUGUCCAUGAAGCCUCAUAGAGCAGUUAUGGAAACUUUUGUAUAAGGAUUCACCAGUCUACAGUUACCUUUAGUCUAUGGAGGGCAAGGCUACUAGCCGCAAUGACUAUGUUCUACUUCCGCUCAGCAUAAUGCCUCUGCAUACCAGUUGAUGGAGAUAGCAGGUGGGCAGAGAGUUGUUGUGCUGUUGUCCUGGUUGCAGGCUUCCCACAGACUAGCCACUGUGAGAAGAGGAUAUGACUAGAAGGGCCAUUGGCUGGAUGUAGCAGGCUGUCAGGCGUGGAGUAUCCUCUCCUCCCUUGGUAGCCUCAGAGUCAAGAAGAACAAACAGUUCAUAUUUUAUGGCUUUUUAUUCAGUCAUCUGGUUGCAAGACGAAAGAUCCAUGUCUCCACCCAUAGGAGACGUUGGCUACUCUGAGUCCCUCCUCUUCUGUCUCCCACAACAUCCUGGAAACUACAGGAAGUCUCAGGAGUCACACCCCUCCGCAUUCUCUGUUCAUGAAUGCGGAGGGACCUGCGAGUCUUUGGACUAGGAGGGUCUCCCACACUCUCCAGGGAGGUCUCCGCCGUCUGCUCUCUAACUUCCCCCUCCUCAUCCUCCACUGUCUCAUAACUCGGGAUUUCUUCAUUCAUCCCUGUCUCCCUCUCCCCCUGAAACUGCUGGAGACAGGGAGGGCAAAACUUCCCACUCUUCCUCCUCUUCUGAGAGGAGCCCAUCAGACCGAGGGCUCAUUUCCCAUUCCUCCAGUCCCUGACACAGGCUCAUCUUCUGUUCUUGUCUUCCUGGCAUCUUCUUCGCCGGUGUCUAUUGUACAGAUUGACUUUGUAUGACUGAUCAUCUUUGAAAUGUGGAUUUGUUUCUCUAUGAAACAAAUAGGCCAUCUUAAUUUGUGAUCUAUAGAACACCCUCUGCCCUGUUGAGGUUGCUACCAACCCUAUUUGGUUUCAGACUGUAUAAUACUUCCUCAUUCCUCCUCCUCCUCCUCCUCCUUAUUAUUUAUUGAAUUUAUAUACCGCCCUAUACCCGUAGGUCUCAGGGCAGUUCACAGGGUGGUUUAUUUCUGAAUCCCUUGUGCUAGGCUUGUUAAGGACAGUCCUUGCAAUGAUACACCACACUUUUAUUUUAUAAAGAACAAGUGAAGAAUGAAGAGGUAUAUUUUAGACUAAUAGUUUAAUUUUGAUCUUUUUUACAUGAGCUUUUGUAAGUGAAACCUGUUUCACCAGACAGGUCAUACAGAGAUAGAAUCAUAUUUAAAAAAACUCAAAAGAAAAUACUUUUCUUAAAAUCACUGAAAAAGACCGUGGCAACAUGCUUUUUUUUUAAAAAAAAAAAAUCCCAAUAUGCUCCAUUGCCACAUAAAGCUUGGUGGAAAAGAAAGGGUUUUGCUAAUGGUUGAAAGAUUCAGAUUUUUAUUUUCUUCCGAAGGAGAUAAAUGAAAAAAAUAUCAAAUGUGUUCUCCCGACCAGUAAGUAAGUAAGUAAAUAAAUAAAUAAAUAAAUAAAUAAAUAAAUAAAUGGAAAUGAGUAACAAUGUCUUAAAUAGGGAUAAAGAAGUUUAAUUCAGUUAACAUUUGAGCCUACCAAAUUCAGAAUAAGUGAACCAAAAUAUAGCCUUCCUUCAAAAUUCACACUUCUUCAAAUUUUGGAGUGCAGUUUUCCAGUCAAGUGUAUGUGUAUGAAGAUAUAUAUCCUAGGGUAAAGUGUGAAUAUAAAUAUAUAUGUUAGCAAAAAAAUAACAAAAAAAAUGCAUUACAGUAGGGUGCGUUGCUUGGCAAAAAUGUUUAUGAGGCAAAAUGGCACCCCAAAGUGUGUUUAUUUGCGGUAAUUUGCACUAAAAUACUGCUGAAUUUUCAUCAGGACUUCUUUUAAAAUAAAUAAAGAAAUGCAAACUUAUAUGGAAAUAUAGAGAACUGAAUUAAAAUUGGAAAAAUGAGAAAUUGAGAGAAACUGAAAUGGACAGAUUUAGCCAUCCCUGGCAUUAAGUCACAGCUCUGUAGGAGAUGGUAGAACUGACCGUAGCUCACUGUGACUUGUUUGCAAAGCAUUUUGAAGAUAAAAUUGCAUGCAUCCACUGGGAUCUUGGCUCCUGCUGUUACAGCAGGUGAAGCUCAAUGGGUGUCCAGAACACUGUCUAGUCCUGUUGUGUUGGAUGAGUUUCAGUUGGUAAGGCUCAAGUAUGUGGGCAAGGUGCUUGAACUGGUCAGGAUGACCACUUGAACUCUGGACACUUGGCCCAUUUGGCUGAAAAAAACUAUCAGGAAGGGGACAGCAGGCUGGGCCAGAGAGGUGAAUAAUGCCUCCCUGCUAGAGGGGGUGGGCCCUGCCUGCUUGAAGGGGGCAGUGCUAAAACCACUCCUUAAGAAACCCUCCCUGCUCUUAGAAAAUCUAAGUACGGUAGCUACUGGCCAGUGACUAAUCUCCCCUUCCCCUUAUUAAGUGGGUUGUCGCAGACCAGAUCCAGGUGCUCUGGGAGGAAACUGAUUUUCUAGAUCCAUUUCAAUCAGGGUCUGGGCCUGGUUUUGGCACAGAAACUGUCUUGGUUGCCAUGUACGACGACCUCUGUUGGUUACUGUUAGAUUUUUUAAAAAACUUGUUUCUUCGUUGUUGUUAUAAGUAUGGCUUUUAAAUGCUGCUUUUCCAUAUAAUUUAUUGCUGCUGCUUUUUGUAUUCAAUGGUUGUUGUUUUUUGGUAUUGUUGCACUUUUGUAAGCCACGCUGAAAAGUCCUCAGGAGAGCUGGGAAAUAAGUAAUACAUAACGGCAAUCAAAUCGUCCUUCAAACGAAAUCCUUUUUCUUCCAUUGCUGUUAUUUCCUUUGAAAAGGAGGCUCUCAGUUUGACUAGUGGAUGUCACAUGCGGUUUCCUCACUGCGAGAAGUGAGGUUACAGGGAACCAGGCAUAGGGCCUUCUCGGUAGUGGAACGCCCUCCUAUCAGAUGUCAAGGAAAUAAACACUAUCAGGAUUUUUUUUAAUGUCUAAUGUUUUAUAAUUUUUUAUGUGUUGUAAGCAGUCCAGUUGGGCAGGGUAUAAAUAAUAACAUGAUUAUUAUUAUUAUUAUUAUUAUUUAUUCUAGUAUGCAAGUCUGUGGAUGUUUACUUGAAAGUAAGUACCUCUGGUUUUGGGGGGCUUACUCACACAUAUGUAUAUGAUUGCAGAAUAAGAGAGAAGAAGUAACAAAAGAGUAAUAUUAUUAAACUUACUAAUCUAAACCAUUUAGGUAUUGUUAUAAUUAUAAACUUAACAUUGCAUGUGCAGAAAUGAGACCAAGUGGUCUGAUAGACACGUUCAUAAAUAGUAAGUAGCACUCUUCUAUAACUGUGAAGAUCAGGUCUCAUGCAGUUACAUUAGAGAUAAGAAGCCCGACCUUCUGCACCCCAGUUUUGCAACACUGGUUGGUUUCUCUUAGAGUCAGGAUUUCACCAAUCUUCUGUAAAUACAGAACUAAUGCUGCUGCUCUGCUGGCAGGAUAGGUGUGGGUAAAAUAGUUAUGACAAGGAGUUUUACCAUCACUUGGAAAUUGUAGUAUAUUUGUGAACACAUUAUAAAUUCAUAGGAAGUUGAGAUUGGAAAAGCCGAGGUCACACAUCAGGUUAACUGCUGAAGGAAAACUACAAACAGUAUCAGGUGUAAAAUCCAAAACAAGUGUCAGAGAACAUCUGUGUAGAGAAAGAAGCAAGAAAGGGCACUUCGGUGAGUGGAAAACUGAGAAUGUGGAAGUGUGACAAAGGAAUAAAUGUACUAGAGACUCCAAAGGUAGCUAAAUGGCUAAAGUGAUACAUAAAGGUGCUAGCUCAGCACCUCUGUCUAAACAUGCACUUGCCUGGAAAUGGAUCCCAUUGAUUUCACUUCAGCCCUGGAGAGUUUCUAGGCAGGAGCCUCCUACUGGUCUCCAGACACUACUUCCCCACAUGCAGAAUUGCAGCACCCCUUCCACAUUGCAGCAGGCAAUAUCGACCUUUUCUCAGCCCUGCCCCUUCCCCCGGCUGCUUGCAUCUUACACUUAUCUCCUGCACAUCAGUGGGUGAAGGAUUAUGGGAUGCAGCCAGGCUUCAUCUUGACCAUCCCUGCCCCUCUUUCUAUCCAUUGCAAAGUCCUUCCUUUCUGGUUAUGUACAGGUGCAGAUAAUACCUGUGCGUACCUGUACACAUUUUUCUUUUGGUUUUUUAUGUGAAGAAUUGCACAUUGGCAGUCUGUUUUCAUGCAUGACUGCAUAAUUUCCCUAAAACCAUUCCUUGCCCAACAUGGAUCUCUAGCUACUCAGUCUCUGCUUUCAGGAAUAACUCCUUAAAGAACACAGCAGUUUCAUUCACAGAGGCAGGACUUGAUGUAGAAAAAGGUUGUGACUGUUCUUAUAAGCUCUUAGAAGACAUCAGAUGACUUUGACUCUGUACUGGGGCAACAUUUUUCUAUUCCUUUCAACUCCAGCCAGUUCAUUGGGAGCUAUCUAGGGGUUCUGAUCCUGUUUGUCUUAACCUGAAUGCCCUUUGCUGCAGUUCCCUGAAAGAGAUCAUUAUCUGAUGUGACCUUACCUGAUGUAACUCCACUUGCUGUGACUUUGCCCACUGUAACUGCCUAAUGAACUUUCCCUGAAGUAAGUCUGGCCCCAUGCUGCAUGGAACUUGGGUCCAUGAUAAAGAAACAACAUAUGGGAAACCAUCUUUACUGAGAAAUAUGUGGCAAGGGUGGCACUGUGGUCUAAACCACUGAGCCUCUUGGGCUUGCCGAUCAGAAGGUCAGCACAGUGGCAUAGCGUGGGUUGUCAGCACCCGGGGCAAGGCAAGUAAUUUGCGCCCCCUAACCCGUGGAUUUGCGCACCCUAACCCUAACCGCCAGAUGUUGCACCCGGUGCGGCUGGCCCCCCCUGCAUCCCCCCACGCUACGCCACUGGGUCAGCAGUUCAAAUCCCUGUGAUGGGGUGAGCUCCCGUUGCUCUGUCCCAGCUCCUGCCAACCUAGCAAUUCAAAAGCAUGCCAGUGCAAGUAGAUAAAUAGGUAUCACUGCAAUGGAAAGGUAAACGGCGUUUCCAUGCACUCUGGUUUCCAUCAUGGUGUUCCAUUGCACCAGAAGUGGUUUAGUCAUGCUGGCCACAUGACCCAGAAAGCUGUCUGUGGACAAACACCGGCUCCCUUGGCCUGAUGAGCGCCACAACCCCUUAGUCACCUUUGGCUGGACUUAAUUGUCCAGGGGUCCUUUACCCUUUACCUUUACCUAUUAGUUGUACCCAUUAUGGAAUGCUUCCAUUAAGCUACCUUCCAGUUUGGAGUCAGGGAAUCUACAGCAUAAGAAAUAGUCCUGAGGGUGUGCUUCUUCAUUAAGCUCUGUUUGUGCAUGUCCACCAGACAAUUACUUGGGUGACAAAUGAAAUAGAAGUUCUACUUUUUAUUUUUAUUUUUUGUUAACAGUGCUUUCAAUAUUCUACUGUUUUGCUAUCUUAUUGUGACUUACAAUAGAAAGUAACUUGGUAUGGAAAUCGGCACUACUUUUGAAUAAUAAUAAUAAUAAUAAUAAUAAUAAUAAUAAUAAUUUAUCAUUUAUACCCCGCCCAUCUGGCUGGGUUUCCCCAGCCACUCUGGGCGGCUUCCAAAAGAAUAUUAAAAUACUGUGAUACAUCAAACAUUAAAAGCUUCCCUAAACAGGGCUGCCUUCAGAUGUCUUCUAAAAGUCUGGUAGUUGUUGUUCUCUUUGACAUCUGGUGGGAGGGCGUUCCACAGGGAGGGCGCCACUACCGAGAAGGCCCUCUGCCUGGUUCCCUGUAACUUGGCUUCUCACAGUGAGGGAACCGCCAGAAGGCCCUCGGUGCUGGACCUCAGUGUCCGGGUAGAACGAUGGGGGUGGAGACGCUCCUUCAGGUAUACUGGACCGAGGCCGUUUAGGGCUUUAAAGGUCAGCACCAACACUUUGAAUUGUGCUCGGAAACGUACUGGGAGCCAAUGUAGGUCUUUCAAGACCGGUGUUAUAUGGUCUCGGUGGCCGCUCCCAGUCACCAGUCUGGCUGCUGCGUUCUGGAUUAGUUGUAGUUCAAAGGUAGCCUUCAAAGGUAGCCCCACGUAGAGCACAUUGCAGUAGUCCAAGCGGGAGAUAACCAGAGCAUGCACCACUCUGGCGAGGCAGUCCUCAGGCAGAUAGGGUCUCAGCCUGCGUACCAGUUGGAGCCGGUACACAGCUGCCCUGGACAUGGAUUUAACCUGUACCUCCAUGGACAGCUGUGAGUCCAAAAUGACUCCCAGGCUGCACACCUGGUCCUUCAGGGGCACAGUUACCCCAUUCAGGACCAGGGAAUCCUCCACACCUGCCCGCCUCCUGUCCCCCAGAAACAGUACUUCUGUCUUGUCAGGAUUCAAUCUCAAUCUGUUUGCCGCCAUCCAUCCUCCAACCGCCUCCAGACACUCACACAGGACCGUCACUGCCUUCACUGGUUCUGAUUUGAAAGAGAGGUAGAGCUGGGUAUCAUCCGCAUAUUGAUGAACAUCCAGCCCAAACCGCCUGAUGAUCUCUCCCAGCGGCUGCAUGUCGAUGUUGAAAAGCAUGGGGGAGGGGGCUCAUCACUCAUUCCCCCCCCCCCACUUUCUGAACACGGCCCAGGAGGAAGGAGCGGAACCACUGUAUGACAGUGCCCCCAGCUCCCAGACCCUCAAGACGGUCCAGAAGGAUGUUAUGGUCGAUGGUAUCGAACGCCGCUGAGAGAUCCAGCAGAACUAGGAAACAGCUCUCACCUUUGUCCCUAGCCCGCCGGAGACCAUCAACCAGUGCGACCAAGGCAGUUUCAGUCCCGUGAUGCGGCCUGAAUCCUUGUCCAUGCCAGCUGUUUGGCACUUUACCUAUUCCUAAGAUGGUAGCCACCAUUUUACCAGUGGACACUUUGGGGCUGAGUAGUAAGGCAAAACAUUUUAGCGCUUGUGCAAUUUCAGUAUAUCACUUGUGGGCGCUUAUUACUAUUCCAUUCCUGCUUCAAGGGACAACUGAGCUCACUGGCUGAUUUAGUGACAAAGAGGAAGGGUGGAGCAGAAGAAACCAUGUUGCAUAAAUUCUACCAGUGAUACUGGCAGGUGCUGCCUCUCUGAUGGUUUGUGGGAGCCACCUUGAUCAGUCUUUCAACCACUGCAAGACCAAGGGCUGUAUUGGCUGGGGCUGAUGGGAGCUGGAGAUCAACAGUAUCUGGAGGGCCACAGGUUCCCUGGGUUAAAGGACCUAAGUAAACACUAUAUCUGCUUCACAAAGAUCAAUCUUUGUUACAUGAGCCUCCCCCCCCCCCCAUUUAGAUACUUCUCACAUUGGAAUGAUUAGUCCUCCUUAUUUUGGACAACAGCUUACUUAUCAUAGUAGUUGCAAUAACUCCACUGCUGGAGUGGAGAAAUGCAGAUGUUAUGUUACUUUCCUGCUAUCAAGGGAAAACAGACUGACGUGCUAUAAUGUUAAGACAAAAUUGUCAGAGUCCACUGGAAGUAAUGAAGUCUGACAGUUCUUCAGUUAAUACAAGGACUAUUGGGCCUGUAAAUUUCAAUUAGGCCUGACAGCAAUAGGGUUUAAUGUGACAUUUAUGCGAAGUGGUAGGUUGGUAGCUUUCCUUCACACUUACAAAGUCAAGGAUCUCGGGGGGGGGGGGGUUUAAAAAAGAAAGAAAGAAAAUAGGGUUCAUCCACAGUCCUUUUCUGUUUCUUCUUCUAAGGAUCAACAUAAAAUGUUUGGGACAAAGUGUUCACACUUGUAGUGGCUGGACUUAGUGACCAGAAACCAUAUUUAUGUAGCCAAUAGAUGUGGUUUUUUUAAGGCUUUCCAUUGUCCUCUGCUGCCCUUCAUUCACAAAGGUAAUGAACCAGACUACUUGGAGUUGUGACCCCUUUAUGAAAACUCUGUAUCAUUCUUGGAUACACAGAGUGCAAGGAGAAAUAAAGAAAUCCAUGAAUAUACUCCUCCGAUUUCCAGGAUUGUGGUCACACUUUCUGGAGUGUGGUCCAUAGAGUAUACUUCCCCAUGAAAUCCCUUUACCCCAGCGUAGUGCAGGAUGAAUCAAGCAUGCUUAUCUAAAGUGGCCCUGAAGAUGAAAACAGGUAUCGGCUUGAAAUAUGGCUGCUAUUUUAAACAUUUCAUGAUCUAGCAGGAGAAGCUUCUGCUACCCAGGGCUGUAGACUGGGUUUUCAGGCAGCCGUGGUUCAGAGCAUAAGGCAAAUCAGGAAUUUGGGAAGGCAGACAAAGUAUCAGAACCCUGGACAGAGCUCAAUAGAGAGGGUUUCAAGACUGAGGUCCAAAGGCUAUAACAGUGAAUGGGGAAAGAAUGCUUAGAACCUUGCUUUUAAUCCAUCCUCUGAGAACUAUCCCUACCCCAGCCCAGUGGAUUUAGGCAGACAAUAUAACUUAAUUUGUGCUAAAAGUUAUUAAGUUGUUGUUCUGUUUUUGCCCAGGGAGACUGACCUUGCACCCUUCCAGUUUAAGAGCUUGAGGCUGUAACUUUUUUCUUAUCUUUAAAAAUAUAGUAGGAGUAGUAAUAUCAUAUACAAUGAUACAGGUAAUUUACAGUGGUGUAAAUAAUUCAAAGGUAUAUAAAAAUAUCAUAUAAGUAGUACUGGAGAGAUUUAAUAAUAUGUUGAAAAUAAUGCUGAAAGUACCUAAGUAUGAGAAUAAAUGCAUUGCAUAAAUCUAUUAUUCAUCUGUUCCUUUCUUUUAAUUACUACAAUAAUGGUUUACUUGUACUGUACUAUCAAAGAGGAACCGAUUAUUUAUAUGGUAUUAAUUUACAUUUCCACCUACAAUUUUAGGGACCAUUUAAUAUUGUAGUAUAUGUUAAUAAAACAUUACAAUGAAAAAAGUUACUUAAAUAAACUUACUUUUAAUGUAAAAUUAUUAGUAUUAAUUUGUCUAAUCUGAUAUAUACUAAGAAUCACCACUUAGCCCAGGACUAAAUCCCCAGACUGAUUGAUUCUGAUUUUUAAGUUAAUCAACAGACAUUAUUAUUCAGUUAAACAAUGCAUCUACUACAUAUUUUGGUAAGUUGUCUAUUCACUAUGCAUCUGGAGACUUCUUAAGAUAUCAUAACCAAAUUUUGCAUGAUGGUUCCUCAGAUCAAGGAGCAGAUUUUUGUCUAUGCUUAGGUAUAAUUGGAUGCCACUUUGAAUCAAGAUGGCAGACUCAAUCUUUCAAAACUGCACUGAUAUUUUGGUUUCUUAGAAUUCCGGAGCAACACCAGGUUACAAAAUAUAAAACAUAAAAUAUACAAACUUUAGAACAGAUUAAAAUAUCAGGGUGUGGAACAUUGGGACAACAUUCAUGGUGCAAAGGCCUCUUGGAAGACAUAGAGACCACCCACUGAUUCAAGAAGUCUACCAGAUGUCACCUUCUAAUCAUCAAUGCCCAAUCCUGUCCAAAGAGCCCAUGAGGCACGAUGGGACAAGUCAAUAAGCAAAUUGUGCAGUUUGCUCAAAUGAAAGUCUACAAGUGAACUUGAAAAGGAUUCAACAUGCUUUGAUUAAUAGACAGAAUGUGAUGAUAGUAGAUAUUUAUUUGCUUUGGCCACCAACCAUUGCAAUUUGUGUUCAAAGCACAACCAUCCACUGUGUGGUAAACUAGAUUUUUCUCUUGACGCUCUGUGAUCUUAUGAGUAAUCCAGAGAUGCAAACAGUAUUGCUGAGCUGUGGGAAAGGACUAGGCUUCAUUCAAGAUCUGUCCAGUUGUGAUGCCACUCAUGCCUUUGUGAAGCAAGAUAUGAGCUGCGGCUUCUUCGUUUUAAAAGUUUCUUUUCACCUUACUAAAAAUGCCACUCUGUUCUGCGCCCUGAUUGGUGAGUCCAUCUUGUAAACUGCCAACACAUUGACGGAUGCCGAAUGUCCUCUGACACUAUUCAGUGCUGCACAAAAGAGACAUUUCCCAACACCUGUGUUCUCAAUGGUGCCUCCAGCAAAGCCCCGCAGAUGAACCAUUCCAAAUCUAGGCUGACCUUAACAAAGAAGGAGCCGACAUACUUCACUCAUAGCACUCAGCAAGCAAUCAGGCUGCAUCCCAGUGACAUUCAGUGUAGCUGCUGGCAACGGCCUUUAAUUCAUCUGGUAUUUAACCAGGGUGAAAUACCCCUUGGCUAUAUCAUGUUUGUUGGUGUUAGAUGAACCCAGCUCAUCUCCUGCUCACUAAAGUUCAGGAUUUAACACCAGUCUGUGAUUUUUAAGCAUUUCAGUUUCCCUACAAAACACUUGUCUUUUCCUUGUCCUUUCUUCUGUUUUUGUUUUCCUUGCCUUGAUUUAAAACACACACACACACACACACAUACCCACACCCUACCGGCACCUCUGAUAUUACAGCUAUGGCACAUUAAAGAUGUAGCACACCAGUAAUAUAAUUAGGGGCAGCAAUUAUAGGAAACCUCCCACCUUCUCCAGAUUAAAUGUUGUGAAAGACGUAAGUAGGGGGGUUUUCCGGCACAGUAGGGCAAUAAAUGAGUGUGAAUAUGUCUGAUUUUGUAUGAAAUAAAAGCACUAAUAGCUGCAUGCAUUCAGAGUUCGCAAGCAAGGGAGACUUCAGUUAGAGCUGUAAUACUUCCAGAAAUAAGCAUGCUUAGCACAUUUAAGGGUCAUUGAGUUGAGUAGGAAAUGUAAGCACGUGCUUAACAUUCUGCCACUGUAAACAAUAAAAUGGCUUAACCUAUAGUUGGAUUGCUUCCAGUGUCAUAUUCUGGUGAGAGGAUAUUAUUAUGUUCAGUGUUUUGCAGAUGUGUCACGGAUGUCACAACUGUUGGCCAGUUUAAUUACCUGGCAUCUUUGAAUCUGCAAAAGUGUUGUCAUGGUCUUCAUUGCAUUCACAAGAGCUGAGGGAGGCGUGUUGCAACUAUUCCCAUUUUACAGAUGAGACUACCCAAAGCCAUAUAACAAGUCCAGAGUAAACCAGAGUAUGUACAUAGCCUAAAAUGGCACCAGUGAGUUCAGACCCAGCUAUUGCUGGGCUGUCCCAUUCCAUGUCAGAUGACAUUCUGGGCAAACAGCAAAAGCCUUCACCCAGAAAAAGCUGGGGCAGCAGCAGUGCUCAUAGCCCUACUGCUUGCCCAAAUAUGUUGUGUGCUGGUUCUGGGCCUGAGUCCCAUUGCAUUCAUUGUACCUUUCUCUUUAGGUACCCAUGUAGAAAAAUACAGAAGUCCUAUGCAUCCUAUAUAAAUUUCUUCUGGUUUUUUUAAAUGACUUUGGCUGCAAUCCUAUGCACAUUUACUUGGGAGUGAAUAGUGAGGUGAGGUGAGAACAUUCUCCGGAGAAUAUUCUCUGCUAAAAAAUUCUAAUGUAAGAACCAUUUUUACAACCCACAUUUUAAAAAUCUAGUAAAUAAUAAGUGAAGCCGUGAUAUUGCCAGUGUAAAUAAUGAAUGAUGAGACUUGUUACUUAAAGCCUAUUUUUUAAAUAAAUUUCUUUCUUGUGACAGUUUAUCAGUUAUAUUUAAAUAUGUUGUGUGUUGCCUUACUUCUCUAAGCAGAUAGUAAUAUGAAUUUCUGAUGUUAUGUAACUUGCCAUUACUGAUUAUUUGUGUUUUAUUUUCUGGAAAUAAUAGCAUUUUUAAAAACUUUAUAUUGAUUUUAUUUAUCACUGAAAAUACUGUACCAUGUAGAUAUGCUUAUUAAAGAAUGUACUCAUGUAGCGGACCUGAGUUUUUUAAUUAAUUUAAAAUUAAUACUAAUAAUUUUACAUUAAAAGUAAGUUUAUUUAAGUAACUUUUUUCAUUGUAAAGUAACUUUUUUCAUUGUAAUGUUUUAUUAAUAUAUACUACAAUAUUAAAUGGUCCCUAAAAUUGUAGGUGGAAAUGUAAAUUAAUAUAAUACCAUAUAAAUAAUCGGUUCCUCUUUGAUAGGACAAGUAAACCAUUCUGAACAUAGGAGGGUUACGUUUGCUUUGCUGAAACAACUUUUCAUUGGAAGAAGGUAGGAUAUAGUUGACAACUGGCUGCUGUAACUGGAAGCAAUGUUGUUGUUUUCGGUUUUCCUAAAGAAAACACUCUCUGUGCUUUUGCCUUUCCUUUGUUUCCAAUCUAUGCGAAGCAUUUGGACAAUAUUUGUUUAAUUUAUAACCCAGUGGUUUUGAAAGUCCCAGAUGCAGCCCAGUGCUGCCUUUUUGGUUUUUAUCACUCCACAUUGCAACCAGCCUUCCUCCUCUCAGGAUGACAGUCCUGGGAUCCAAAUGCCAACCUGUGGAAGAAGAAUUCCAAGACACAGCAUCUGGCUCCAUGUACAAGUCCAGUGGCAGCUGGCUGUGAUGGGGGUCAUGGAGUUGCCUCUGGCUCUGACAUGUGGUUCAGUUAGUCACUUGAUAGGCUCUGUGACCCUUGAGCCCCUUGGACUUCUGCCUUAUUGUGACAUACCUUUCAAUCUAUGUAAGUCUGACUUCACUUUGCAGUCUAAGUCUUCCUAUACUUCCUCCACACCCUGAUUUCAGCACACCAGUGCAGCAAAAUUUAAUACCACAAUGUUUGAGGACAAUCUGUUCAUUGGGCCUUGUAAACAUGGGAGACUUUUCCCACAUAUGCAUACACAGACAAACGAAUUGUAUGAAUUGGCACCACAAGCCAAUUCAUUAAUAAUAGUGUCACCAGGACCCAGAAUGGCGGGCCCAGCUUCUUUUUACAGGAUGCGACAAGAGUGUGACAUAGGACUAUUUUUGCUGGGCUUCUAAAUGCUUGCUACAGUUUGUGUUAGAAAGAGGCCUCUGAAAAGACCACUUUCUACUCCUGUUGCAUAUAGUCUUAAACAUGAACUAAUUGUGAGUUGUGGUUUGUGGGCUGUCUGUAGCUAACCUCAGUAAAGCUGGUUAAGGCAGUUGGUGCUGAUUUGUCGACCUGGGCUUUUUAUUGCACUAAUUACUAUAUUCUUUAGACAAUUUAUACCCUGCAUUGUCAAGGCAGCUUAGAUCCUUCAGUAAAGCAAUCCAUCAAGUGCAAAAUGAUACAACAAAACACUGAAAUAAUUUGUUGUUGUUGUUUAGUCGUUUAGUCGUGUCUGACUCUUCGUGACCCCAUGGACCAGAGCACGCCAGGCACUCCUGUCUUUCACUGCCUCUCGCAGUUUGGUCAAACUCCUGCUGGUAGCUUCGAGAACACUGUCCAACCAUCUCGUCCUCUGUCGUCCCCUUCUCCUUGUGCCCUCCAUCUUUCCCAGCAUCAGGGUCUUUUACAGGGAGUCUUCUCUUCUCAUGAGGUGGCCAAAGUAUUGGAGCCUCAGCUUCACAAUCUGUCCUUCCAGUGAGCACUCAGGGCUGAUUUCCUUCAGAAUGGAUAGGUUUGAUCUUCUUGCAGUCCAUGGGACUCUCAAGAGUCUCCUCCAGCACCAUAAUUCUAAAGCAUCAAUUCUUCGGCGAUCAGCCUUCUAUAUGUUCCAGCUCUCACUUCCAUACAUCACUACUGGGAAAACCAUAGCUUUAACUAUAUGGACCUUUGUUGGCAAGGUGAUGUCUCUGCUUUUUAAGAGGCUGUCUAGAAUUAAAUAAAAAAAGAGGCAGCAGAUCUUUAAAAUACAGUUAUAUAAUGGCCUAAAAACAUCAGCAACCUGGAAUGGUAAAUGCCUGUUGGAAUAAAAAGAUAUUUGGGUGGUGGCUAAAAACAUCACUGGGAGAGGGGGCAAUUGGGCUUCAGUAGGCUGUGAACCACUUUGAGAUCCUCAUAUGAAGGGCUGUAUACAAAUAUAAUAAUAGGUAGGGAAGUCCAUAAUCUUUUUCCGAACAAUCUAGUACUUCCAAACCUUUGGAAGCCUUUUAUGUUGGCAAGGCAAAAUGUUUCCCACAUUGAAAACUCAGAAUCUGGGUUGAUAGUAACUUUAGAGACAGGGGGAGAAACCCCCCCCCCCCAAAAAAAAGACAACUAGAAAUGUGAUAUAGAGGUAUGUGAAAUUAUUUAUGUUACACAGAUGCUGGAAACUUUCUGCACUUUCUCCUAAUACAAGUACUCAGGGCCACCGGAUGAAAUUGAUUAGCAAUGGAUUCAGGGGUUGGAGUAGAAUGGAAACCAUGUUGUACCCAAUAGAGGAGGAGUUUGGAUUUGAUAUCCCGCUUUAUCACUACCCAAAGGAGUCUCAAAGCGGCUAACAUUCUCCUUUCCCUUCCUUCCCCACAACAAACACUCUGUGAGGUGGGUGAGGCUGAGAGACUUCAGAGAAGUGUGACUGGCCCAAGGUCACCCAGCAGCUGCAUGUGGAGGAGCAGGGAAUCAAACCCAGUUCACCAGAUUACGAGUCCACCGCUCUCAUCACUACACCACACUGGGCAGUAGUGGCCUUUGAAGUGGGGUGGAGCCACCCGCCUGACACUUGCCACUUACCUGGAUUGGGAUGGGGCAGGGCAGUGGCAAAGCUGGGACUGGAUAGACACACCAACAGCAGAAACAUCAGUCUGGCUCCAUCAGUACACCUGUGCAGCCCUAAUCUCAAUGCUGCCUUGCCAUACCCUCAUAAGCUACAGAGGUGCUGGUGAGGGGAAGGUGUCUCCACCUCACCAUUCUGGUUGAGGGAUCCUACUUCAGGAGAAGAUGCCAUAAAAUAACUUUCUCUUGAAGAUUGCAUUCACCUCUGCUAAUUCCAGCUAGAGUUUACUACAGUGGUACCUUGGUUCUCAAAUGCCUUGGUUCCCAAAUGCCGAAAACCUGGAUGUAAGUGUUCCAGUUUUUGAACUCUUUUCAGAAGCCGAACGUCCAAUGCAGCUGUCAGCUAUUGUUUCCAGGCCACCUGCACCAAUCAGCCUUGGUUUUCGAACAUUUUGGAAGUCAAACGGACUUCCGGAAUGGAUUAAGUUUGGCGCUUUUGUUUUUGCUCUGUAUUUUGCUUUUUUGCUUUUGGUUUUUGGUUCAUUUGUUUUUGCGACUGUAUGGAACCCAGUUCAGCUACUGAUGGAUGGAUUAUGGGACUGCAGAAAUGGAUAAAAGUCCCCCAUCCAAACAAUCUCUAUCAUCAGUGCAGGUAAGAAAAAAAAUUAAUUUUAUUUUUUAUCAUCUACAAUACUGUCUUAUUUAUUUUAUAGUACAGUACAUUGAUUAUUGCUUUCAUCUUAUGGAUCAAUGGUCUCAUUAGAUAGUAAAAUUCAUGUUAAAUUGCUGUUUUAGGGGUUGUUUUUUAAAGUCUGGAACGGAUUAAUCCGUUUUGCAUUACUUUCUAUGGGAAAGUGCACCUUGGUUUUGGAACGCUUUGGUUUUAGAACAGACUUCCGGAACGGAUUAAGUUUGAGAACCAAGGUGCCACUGUACUGCAGUCUCCUGGCAGAUGUCGAAAUACAGUAGCAGGAUUUAUUCUAAUAAGGGAUGGUUCUUCUGAAAGAUAAAUGUAAACCUUUACCUAUCCACCAAGAAUAAGAGCAGAAACAGAGUUUAGGUAGACCUUGUUGUUCUAGCUAUUGAGACAAGAAGUCUUUUUAUAUACAAUAAUAAUAAUAAUAAUUUUUAUUUGGUUUUACAAUUAUAAAAUUAUAACAUUCCAAAUUACAUAUCCAUAUUUAGAGAUUUCUCCAAAUCUCUGGACUUCCCACCUUUCCCUCCAUGGGUCCUAUUGUACACCCUUUCAACUGCAUAUUAUUUCAUAAUCCAUAUUUUAUAUCUUUCCAUAUUGUCCAUAGUAUUCUCUACAUUACAAGUGUUAUUAGAAUCCUGUUAAGGUUUUCAUCUGCUUACUGUGGUCUCCUAGAUAAAUUAAAAAAAUUUCCCAUUCUUUGCUGAAGUUUUGAUCUUCUUGGUUCCUGAGCUUUCUGGUCAAUUUUGCCAUUUCGGCAUAGUCCAACAGCUUGAUUUGCCAUUCCUCUCUGGUAGAGACUUUGUCUUAUUACCAUCUCUGGGCUAGUAACAUCCACGUGGCUGUUGUCACAGAGACAGGAAGUCUUCGUAUACUCCUUCCUGUCUAGAAUGAGCCAAUGGCUAGCUUGGUCAAAGUCAGUCUGGAAUUUUCUUCCCCAAGAUGCUGUGGUGAUGCAACGCACCACAUAGCGCUGUGGUCAGGAAUUCCUGACAUUCCAUGAUAAGUCUACCAAUGACUGUUUGCCAUGACUGCUAAAUGGAACUUUUAAGAUUCAGAGGUGGUAGUCACCAGAGUACCACCUGCUGGCAAAGAGGCAAAUAGCAGUGAAAGGCUGCAGCUUUUUAUGCCAUCUGGUUGGCCGCUGCUGUAAACAGGAUAUCAGAUUAGAUGGAUCCUUGGCUGAAUCCAGAAGGGCUCCUUUUGCAUUCUUAUGACUGCUUUCCCUGUGCUCAAAGCAACCAGGUGACCGUACCUCAACAUGUAAGAGCUUACUACAUCUGAUUUUAUGUUAUUUUUGCAGUGAACAAAAUAAAAGUUUGAUCAAUAACAACGUGCCAUAUUUAUCUUUUCUCUGAUGUCAAAACCGAAGCAGGGCAAUGGAUUAAUUACUUUUCGGUAGUAAUAACUAGCAAUUACUUAUGUCUACCAUGAAGACACACAGAUCUUUUGAUUAGAAAGCUGCAAGCUUCUUUUGCAAUGAUAGACUCUUUGUCAAGUGUUGAUCUUCUUAACAAAUUUGAGUGGACAUAAAAAGCAGCAUCUUUGAGGGCCUUGCUGGCCCAUCUGGGGUCAGUGCAAAGGAAUGGAACAGAUUUUUUUAUAAUUAUUUAUAAGAUGUCUGCUUUCAUAACACUGUUACUUGAGUAUCUGACAACCUCAGGGGCCCUGUCCAAGUAUAUCAUAUGACAUUCUGUUGGUCAUCAGCAAAUAUUCCCUUACUGAAGGAAAUUUUAGAGACUCAAAAAGCCAUCUCACCUCCCUCUCCCUCCCACAGUGUAUAAUCACCUUCAUUUGGAAUGCUUUAAGCAAAUUGAAACAUAACAUACAUAACUUGGGAAAGCAAACAUUUGGACAGCCUUCACUAUAAACAUAAAUGUACCGUACUUCUUUUUUGCAGUGGAACUACUUUAUUAUAUCAAAUCUAGUUCUGACAUAGUCAAACCCAGUAAAUUCCAGUGUGGGUCAUGAUUGUUAGCCCACGAAUACUGUGGUACACGUUGUGCUGACCAUUGUGCAACUGAAAUAGGGUUUGGCUUAAGUAUGAACAUACGCUGUUCUUUUCAACAGUUCAUUGGCUAUUGGUUCUACUCUCAAGGCCUGCAGUGGGGAACCUAAUCUCAUGUGACGCUCUGUAAAACUUGCUCUGUUGCCCACCCCUCUGAGAACCAGUUCCUCUUCCACAUUUUAUGUGUGUAAGGGGUGGGGAGAGAAAGGAGAGGGGGCUGCUACACUGUGAACCCAGAAAACAAAUGCUCAUCAGAGGAAGAGAAAGGAAGACCAGAAAUGGACCUAGUAAUUCAAGGAGUAGGGUGAUGUCAGGGACUGGACUGAGGAGGAAUGGUGGGGACCACCCCUGCUCUUCCUGAACCUUCCCGAGAAGAGGAGGACAGUAUAGAUUUAGAACAGUGGUUUGCAGAGGGUCAUAGUUCAGAGGCUGCAGAGGGGAGAAGCUGGGAAAUAUUGGGAGAGCAGCAGGAAGAAGCACCACCAGUGGAGAGACAUCUGACAGACUCAGUGUCUUUAGAAAGCAUUCCUGACCCCGCCCCCCUUCCCUGGACCAGGUGUGCAUUGAGAGUAGUAGAACAGAAAGCUCAGAGGCAGAAGGCACUGAUCAGCUGGCUUAGGGAUGACAUAGGAUAGGAGGGAUUGAGGGGGUGGCAUUUUACUUCGAGCAACGCCAUUAUCUAAGAGAGACCGCAUUCCUUUCUCUCUCUGUGUGAAUACUGAAUUAACCACUUAGUAAGAACUGACAGAUUUCCCCAUCCCUUGGAACGCAGCUCUCAGCAGAAAGUGAUUGAGUGAACGGAAUAGGGCACUUUGCUGAUGGGGAAGUUUGCAUUCAUGGGUGGGGAAUUCAUCAAAGUUGGGGGUGGGAAUUUACCCACAACUUUUUAAAAAACACACACACCCCACCUCUGGUAUCAUUUCCAGGAAGACUUUGAGUACUGUACUUUUAUUUAUGAAAAGUGUGCCAUUCUACACCCAGCUGCCAAUUUCCAAGCACCCUUCGAAUCCAUAGCCCGGGCUGGGGCGGGUAGCAUUUAUUCCAUAAGAACAUGGCAGAAUUCUCCCUCAAUUUUUAGCUCUCUCUCUUUUUAGUCCCUUUCUUGUGUGUGGAGAUAUAAGUAAAAGCGCUUAGGCAGUAUUUUGUUCAACUGCUCAAAAAGAAAGGGCCACAGUCAAAUGUAUUUAAACAGAUGGAAUCACUUGCAUUUAUGUUGAGGCCUUGUGCCUUUGAUCAAGGGUCUGGAGCCAAGCCUUAUGAGGAACGGUAGAGGCAAUUGGGUAUGUUGAGCCUUGUAAAGAGGAAACUAAGAGGAGAUAUGAUAUCCAUAUUCCAAUAUUUAAAGGGAUGUCACAGGGAGGAUGGAACCAGCUUGCUUUCUUUGACUAGGACCUGAACCAAUGGAUUCAAGUUACAAGAAGGGAGAUUCCAACUAAACAUGAGGAAGAACCUUCUGACUGUUCAACAGUGGAACAGACUCCCACAAGAGGUGGUGGAUUCUUCUUCUUUGGAGAUUUUUAAGCAGAGGUUGGAUGACCAUCUGCCAUGUAUGAUCAAGUUGAGAUUCCUGAAUUGCAAGAGAUUGGGCUACCUUGGGGGUACCUUCCAACUCUAUGAUUCUAUGAGAUUCCACAAUAGAAUUCACCAACCUGGUUCCCUCCAGAGGUUUUGGGCCACAGCACUGGCUGGGGCUGAUGGGGGUUGUAGUCUGAAACUUCUGGGGGAAACCAGGCUGAGGAAGUCUGUUCUACAGUUUUGUCACAACCUUGUCAAAGGCUUCCGCUCCCUUUCUUCCUUUCUGACCAAGGAUGAUCAACCCUGCUGCAGUGUGCUGAACCCUUUACUCAAAAAGAGUCAAGGCAGUGAUGUGGGCUAGUAUCCAUUAGAGACACCAAGCUGAGAAAUGAACCCAAGUCACAAGAGGCCAGCCCUGUAUUCCCUGAAGCGGACGUCUAGUCCUUUUACUGCCAAGCUCCUUCUUUUGGUAUUUAAUCAACUGUCGAAUCCUCUGAAGUGAAAAAAAUGCACUUUUUAUUUUCAUUUUCAGUGACUCGUUGAAGCUGACUGCUUCUCACAACCAGCAAGGUCUAUGAAACUAGUCUUUAUUAAGGAUGAGUGAUUUCUCACACUUAUUCCGUUUCCCUCAGAGGCUGCCAAGUUGGUCCACCUGGGCCUCCAAACUGAGAUAUCACAUUUCCCACAUCUCAUGCCUUUUUCCUCUCUAUUUGUCCUGCAUUAUUUAUUAUGGCACAGAGUGCUCCUGGGGUUCGUUGUUAGCCGGGGUCAGACCUGCUUUGGCCUCCCCUUUGCAGCAGCUCAGAUUGGAAGGCAACCAGCAACUCUGUUGAACAGAUCAGCAAAUCGCUUGGCAAUUUCAAGUGAAGAAACAGAAACUCAAGCAUGUUACAGGGAUCAGUAACUGAGAGUGAGUUGCAUGUCCUCCAGUUCAUGGACCAGAGAAAGUGGGCAGAAUGGACAGUAUGCAUUUUCUGCACAAAUGAUGUGCUUGCAUGCUCCUCCAAGAAUUGCCUCCCUUAUAGCCUGGCUGCAUUUCAUUAAUUUUCAAAGUGGCUUGCUAAACAUAACAAUAUUUUUUUUAAGUGCAAUUAAAAAUAAAAAGAUAAGGUAGAUGUCAAAACACAACAGCACAAACCAGAAACCAACAACUUUAAAACAGAUCAGUGCCUGGCUGAGAACCAGUGAGGAGUGGAAAUCCCACAAGGAGGAGACCUUGGUGUCUUCAUGGGAAUUAGGGAGGGGAGAGGAAGACCUCCGUAGGAGGGGAUAGUAUAGUAUAGAAUAGAAUAGAAUAGAAGGCUUGUAAAAGGCCUUGUGGUCUCUGCAGGACUUGAGGGGUAAAAAAGCCUUUGUGGCUGGUGGGGCAAAAAUUAAGGAUAAGGAUUCCCUCUGUGGGGGAAGGGAGAGGACUGUCUCAGUAGCAGAGAGGGUGAAGAAAAGGGAGGACAAAACCUAUGGAAGACAUGUGGUCCCUGUGAAGCUUGCAGAGGAGAGAAGAAAGCUUUCAUGGCUGGUGAUAGGGCAAAGAAAGAAAAGGCCUUGUCUCAUCCUUAGGAGUUGAGGAAGGGAGAGCAAAGUAUUCACAGCAGUGAGUUUAGGCCUCAUGGUCUCCCUCCAGGUGUUGUAUCCCUGGGUCCAGUGCCCAGAUCUCUUGAGUACCUAGCAAUGCCUCUGCCUUUUGGCCAUGUGGCUAUUCCAAAUCUCCCAAAAUGUAAACACAAAACCAGGUGAGUUUUGAAUACCCAAGAGGUUACAAAGUUUCUUCUGACCAUCUGUUUUUAAAAACAACAACACAAAAACAAAAAGUAUCAUGCACAGGACAAAGAGAGAAAUAAUGCAACAUGUAGUAGCAUUUGUAUCUUCCCUCUCUCUCUUUUUUGCUAAUGUCAGUCUCCAACAGAACUUGGACCUUGUAGUCCACAGAGCCUACAUGAGAAACACAACGGCAGAUGAAGAAUGAGCAAGAGCUGAGGCUUUAGGGAAGAUCUUCAUGAAAAAUAAAAGGAAAGGAAAUUAAAAGAAAUGAUUUUUUCAUUUUCUUUUCUUUUUUAAAAAAUCUGCAUAGAUGCUUUUACAGUCUGAUGGCUUCUUCCAUUUUCUUGCUGUUGUGUGUCUAACCUCAGG